CUCUCCUUUUGCCCAAUCUUUUAUCAUUGAAUAACAGACAUGGAUCUCUUCUUUUCAUAUCUACUAUACCUUAUACUAUUCUCCAUAUCACUUCCAAUAGUCUUCCUUAUUACUUACAGGCACAAAUCCUCCAAUCCAAACCUUCCCCCUGGGACAAUGGGAUGGCCAAUCAUAGGAGAAACUUUGGAAUUUUCUUUGGCUUGUCAAGGGGGGAACCCGGGGAGAUUCUUGAACGAUAGAAUGAACAAGUACUCCCCUCAAGUGUUCAAGACCUCCUUAUUGGAAGCGAACAUGGCUGUGAUGUGCGGCGCUUCGGGCAACAAGUUUCUUUUCUCCAACGAGGACAAACUUGUAGUCUCAUGGUGGCAGCGUUCAAUGAAGAAGAUUUUGUGCUUCCCAUCUGUCUUCAACGAAACUUUAACAGGAGAUAAGUUCAGACCCCCUACCUUCCUUCCUGAAUUUCUCAAGCCAGAAGCUCUGCAACACUACCUAGCCACCAUGGAUUCGAUGGCAAGCGAACACAUUGAGUUGAAUUGGUCUUCUAAUAGAGAGGUACUGGUUUUUCCGCUUGCAAGGAAGUACAGCUUUGCGUUGGCUUUCCGGCUCUUUAUGAGCAUUGAUGAUCCUGAGUAUGUUGAGAUGAUUUCUCAUCCCUUCCAGAUUUUGAACGAAGGAUUCCUUUCUGUGCCUAUAGAUAUUCCUGGGACGACAUUUAACCGUGCUCUCAAAGCCAGCAAAUUCAUUCACAAUGAGCUUCUAGCAAUCAUCAGAAAGUGAAAAAUGGAGUUAGAGCAGAAGGGAGACUUAGCUACUAGAGACCUACUGUCUCACAUGCUCUUAGCAUCAGAUGAAAAUUGUGAUGUUAAGAGUGAGAUGGAGAUCAGUACUCAAGUUAUUUGUCUGCUUUUUGCUACCCAUCACACCACAAGUUCUGUCAUCACAUUCAUCCUCAAGUACCUGGCCGAGUUCCCUGAUGUCUAUAGCAAAGUCUUAAAAGGUAAUACCUAAAAAACCGGCUGUCUCCUUUCUUUUGAAUCCAUUUCAAGCUUACAUGCAUUGUUGUUUGAUAGUGUUUUCAUUUGAAGUAUUUUUUAAAAAAUGUUUAUAGACGAGAUAUAAAGUAUUUGUCUUUUCUUUUGUCUUGGCCUUGAUCCAUGGGGUAGGUGAAUAGAUUCGUUGACGAAAAUUUUUAAAAAUUUUAAGAUAGUUUUUCUUCCUCAUCUUUCCCCAACUAUUGUGAAGGGUUGUUCAUUAACAGACCAAAUUUAAAAUUAAUUUUUUUGAUUCAAUAGAGCAAAUGGAGAUUGCAAAGAGCAAAGGUCCGGAAGGGUUUCUGAAGUGGGAUGACAUUCAAAAGAUGAAAUAUACUUGGAAUGUAGCAAAUGAAACAAUGAGGCUAACCCCACCUGUGCAAGGAACUUUUAGAGAAGCCAUAACUGACAUCACGUAUGCAGGUUUUACAAUUCCAAGGGGAUGGAAGGUAUGUCAUAUAUAAAGUGCUGUUUUGUAAAAUCAAAUUGUUUGUGGUACACUCACGAAACUUACUGGAAAAUUUUGUCCUGCAGAUGCAUUGGAAUGUAAAUACAACACAUAGAGAUCCCAAGUAUUUUCCUGAUCCCGAGAAAUUCAAUCCCUCGAGGUUUGAAGGAAAAGGGCCUCAACCAUUCACUUUUGUGCCUUUUGGGGGAGGGCCUCGGAUGUGCCCCGGAAGGGAAUAUGCUCGAGCGCAGGUACUUGCAUUCAUACAUCAUGUGGUGACAAGAUUCAAAUGGGAGAAAGUAGAUCCCUGUGAAAAGGUUGCAUAUAAUCCAUCACCCAUUCCUUCCAAGGGCUUCCCAAUUCGCCUCCAGCCUCUACAAAAUGGAUCUAUUUAAGAUUUGGUUAUUUAAGAAGCUAUAUUUGUGGUGCAUUUGAAUGUUUCAAUAAGAUGGCUGCAUGCAUAAGUUUCAGUUCCUGCAAAAUAAAGUGGACAACUAAUAUAGCAAAAAAAGAAAAGAAAAAUUAAAAUAUAUUAAUUCCAAUAAUCAAUGAAAGGACAUGUUGGGAAGUAUCCAAAAUUCCUAAUUAGUAUAAAUUCCUUUUUAUAAAGAAUAUUAUAUACAAUAUUUCCUAAGUUGAUACAUUAUUGUAAUAUUAGAUUUCCUUAUAGAAUAAAAAAAGUUCUUGGAAAUAUCUUUAUAAAUAUUUUAGGUCAUGAAAGGAAAAUGUUAUGAGAUGGAGACGAGCCUAUAAAGACCAUACGAGGUGGAUAGAUGUGAGGGAGAACCAUACAAGGUGGAUAGGAAUGUGAGGGAGAAUGAGAGAUACCCGGUGGAGCGAGAGAGCUUUUGGUAGGAUAUGGAUACAAAGAGUGGGGGAUAUGAUAUGUUUGGAGGACUCAAUAGUUGUAUCUAGUUCUAUAAUCUAUAAUGUUCUAUAUUGUAUAAUAGAAAGAUUCUCUCCUUUGUGAAUGUAGACAUGUUUGGUUAAACCACAUUAAAAUCUCAUGUACCAGGUGAGUAAUUGUUUUAUCUUUCUGUUCUUGAAUGGUAUCAGAGCUUUUGCUGACACAACAUGUACAAUUUUUUAUGAUUCACAGGAAUAAUAUUUUUCUCUCAUUCAAUCUCCACUAUGUAUAAGAAAAAUGAGAAAAGAUGACACCUUAUAAUAAAAAUAAUGGCGCUUUUUACAAGCCCCAACAAAUCAAGCAUUCUUAUAACCAUUUUUUGUAGUAGAAAUCUCUUUCUUGAUUUCAAUCCAAGGGCAAUGGAACUGAAAGUUUACUUGAGGGCUAGAGGUGACUUAUUUUUUAGUAACCUUGUUCAAGGUGGACGAAGAGUGGGUGUGGAGUGUAUGGUAUUCCUUCACAAGUGUGAUGAUUGGUUCAAGAUUUGAAUUGAGUGCCACGCAGGCCAAAGCUAGUGGUUUCUAUUAGAAGUUGUUACAUCAAUUAGUUUAUAUGCUGCAUAUAUUCAGGGGUAUAAAGGAGACUAUUGUAAUAGAAUAAGACUAGACUUCAGGAAAGGUUUUGGGGUGUGUUUGAGAGAAAAUAGAGAAGAUUUUCUUGAUGAGUUUUUUUAGAAAAUCAAACACAAACAAAGAGGGAAGAGAUCUGUAAGAACCUUGUACUCAAAGUUCAUCAACAAGAUUGACUCUGCAUAUUUUGGCAUAAGGACAAGUUUAUGAGGGAUUUCCUUGCUCUAUUUAAGAGGGAGUUUAAAUGAGGGCCAAAAGACUUAUUCUUAUUAAACUUAUGAAGAAAUUUUUUUAUUGUUUCAAUGAACUAAGCAGUUUCCUUCUAGAAGUUGUCCCUUUAUUAAUUUGCGUUAAAAUUAAGAAAAAAAUGCUUCAAGGUUUUUGGUUGUAUUAGAAACUGUCAUUUUUUUUUGGGUCCCCUCACCAGACCGACAUUGAAGUAUAAUAUCUGUAUUCAUAGGUGAAUUGAGGCACUUGAUCCGGCCCCUUAGAUUUUCAUCUCCUAAUUUGGCUCCUUGAUUGCAAAUCUCUUUAUGAUAUUUUGUCAAAAAGAGAAUAUGCUACCUUAAUCUAUUUGAUCAAUUCAAUGGCCAUUUGGACCUAUUUUGGUGUCAACAAGACAUCCAAACACCAAGAGACAACGUGCAUUAUCGACCUAGUUGGAAGCCUGGAGCUUGAAAUUGUUUUCUAUUGAUGAGUUAGGCUUGGGUUGUGGUGGACCUUGGCAUGAUUUGACCCUUUUUCUAAUCCACGUCGGGCCUUAAUUUAACGAAGUAGACUAAGGGAUUGAGCACUUGGUGGGAUUGAAGAAAUCUUUUUGGGGAAGUACUGGAUCUUGAAGCUUGAAACAUCAAUCUUUGAAGAUGUCAACAAUUUGAACAUGUGCCAUAGUGAAAUCAAAUGUGAAAAAACCUUUUUUUUUCUUUCCUUAGUACUUUUUAAGAACCAAACAUAGUCAUAAUGGUUAUUCCAAAUGCUAGAGGUUUAGGCUAUGUUUGAUCCUCAUAAAAUUUGAGAGAAAAUGUAAAGGAAAGAAAAAGUGAAGAAAAAUAAAAGAUAGAGUUAAAGUCGAUAAAUUAUUUUUAUUUAUUAUUUUAAACUCAUUUUUAUUUAUAUUAACUUACCAAUAUAAAAAUUAAAUAAUUUAAAAAUACAUAAAUUUCUAACUAAUUUUAACUAUAUUUAAUUUUCUUUGGAAUUUCUUAUAGGACAAUCAAACAUGAGAAAAUAAUUUUUCUUACCAUUUUUUUCUUUUCUUAACACUUUCUGAGAACCAAACAUAACCUUAGUGAUUUUAUCACAACUAAUAUUAAGAUAAACAAGUAAUUAACUCAUGAGUCUAAUCCAAUCCUUAAUAGUAAGUGGUGGAGUCUUUGGUCUUGUUUAUGCAUGUCUUGGAUUUGAUCAAUUGCUUUAAAAUUUUUGUUGAUUACGAAUCCAAAUUUGAGGGUUGAAGCAUAAAUUUAACAAGGGAAUUGAAUAUAUUAAUGAUUAAGUUAUGGUCGUAAUAUAUAUUGAGAAGACAGGACUAAGUUUAUUUUCCUUAUAUGAAUCUUAAAAAUCGUGACAACUUGAAGAAUAUAGUGGUAGGUGAUGUUAUAUGUACGAAUGAAAUAUUCCAUGAUUCGUUUCUCUCAUGAAUUCUUUUUCAUUGUAAGUUAUUUUUCAUUAAUUAAUUUUAAAAAUACAAAAUUACAAUUGAAACAAAAUCAAAUCUUUUGUUCAAAAAGAAAAAGAAUUAAAAUAUUUCUAAUAUAACUAGAAUAAUAUUAAUAUAUAACAUGAUUUAAUAUAUUAUCUAAUAUAUAGAAAAUGGAUUUAUCCAUUUAUGUUUUAUUAAUGUAUACCAUUUGAUUGCAUAUCACAAUAUUUUUUUCUUUAUAAGAUUUUAAAUUAUUAUAUUAUUCAUAAAAAAGAAAAAAUAAUAAUGUACUAAAAAUAAAUUAUGAAAAAAUAUAAAUAAUAUUAUCUUUUUAAUAUUGAAAAAUGAGAUGAAAUAUAUUUUUUGUUUUAAGAAAUACCGAAAAGCUAGGUAGAGAUAUGUUUUCUUUUUUUAUUUUUUUAUUUUUUUUUCCUAUGGAACAAAUAUUAUCAUACUCAAUAGAAUGGGCCCAUGGUACCACAUCGGAUUCAAUCUAUUAUCUGUGAGGUAACAAAUUCAGUAGAAUGGACCCGUAGUUAUGAUACUUGUAUGGCCACAUCCCUCCUAUGUAUAUUUGGUAAUGCUCCAUCAUAUUCACUCGGAUAUAUCAUAAUGUCAUAAGACCAAUUGUCCAUAGUUAUGAUAAAUAUUAUGAUAUAUAUAUAUAUAUAUAUAUAUAUAUAUAUAUAUAUAUAUAUUCGAUAGUGGAAAAAGUUUUUGAUACUAUGUAUAUAGUGGACUUUUAUCAAUUAUGUAGAUGUCUUUUAUAGUCGUGAGUGCCAUUAGGCAUAAUGUGGAGUGUACAUGAGAGGGAGCAAGGUCAUCCUAAAUAUGAUGGAAUGAGAUUAUGUUUGUCUAACUUUGUAAGUGUUAGGAUUGAGUCUCUAAAAGCAAGACAUGAUAUAACAAAGUUAGAUUUUACUGUCCUUUUGUUAUCCCUUGUAUGCAUUGAUAUUAAUUUUAGUAUUCAAACUCAUAUGAUCACUUGCAUUGUACAUGAUUUCAAUGCAAUAGAAGUUGUACAGAAGAUACAAUUCAUGGGUUUCUUACAAGAUGAUAAGUUCUUCACAAUCAAUUAAUGAAUUUGGGCAAUCCAAUAGAGGCUGUAGUGCACUACCUUCUAAUUAGAGGGAUGACUUAUUUUAAUCAUCAUGAUAAGUUUUCCAUGGUGAGUACAUUAGUAUGUAUGAUUAUACAUUGGAUAGGACUUACGGUGAAUUAUGAUGUAAGAUUAUUAUAUUGUCAUGAUUCACCAAACUUCUAUAUUGCAUGUACUCUCAACCUUGAGAGUAUAUUGAGUCUCUAUUGAAAUCAAUAGGAAGCUUUAAUUUGACCUACAGAUGAUACCCUAUAAUGGUCAUAUAUCCCUAUGGAUUGAAUCAUUAUUGAUGGAGGCCAAUGACAACAAGUAUUCUCAAUGGAGGCAUUAUCAUAUCUCAUGAGAUUAAAACAGUAUGUCCCUUUAGGUGAUCCAAAGGACAUGUGAUCAUGGAAUAUGUGGUCGCAAUAAUUCUUUUAGUAGAAUUUACUCCCAUCCACUUAUUUAGGUCUCCCUUUAGGUGCUCUGUGUAAAUCUACAAUAGUUUAGGAUGGAGUAAAAGAGAGAUUUUAUAAGAGGUUGUCCAUGUGGAAGAGACAAUACAUUUCCAAAGGAGGGAGUAUUAUUUUAAUUUGAAAUACUUUAUCUAUAACUAGCUUGCCCAUUUAUUUUAUGUCUUUGUUCUAUAUCACAAUGGCUAUUAGAAUGAGGCUAAAACAAAUUUAGAGGGAUUUUUUGUGGGAGGUGGGGUGUUAGAUUAUAAACCACAUCUUGUUAAAUGGACGAUUGUUUGCUUAGACAAAAGGAAAUAUGGGUUGGGUGUUAAGAGUCUCUCAAUUCUUAAUAAGACUUUUAUUUGCAAGUGGAGUUGGUGUUUUUCAAAUGAGAAUUGUGCUUUCUAGAAGCAAGUUAUUUGUGGGAAGUACAGAUAAGAAAAAAGGGGUUUGUCUUCUUGGAAGGUGAGAGAGGGGUGAAGGGUUGUGUUGGGUUGUAGAAAACAGUAAGGAAUUAGGAUUGGGAUCUUAUGAGAACUAGGUAUUCCUUCUUGGUAGGUAAUGGGCGGAGAGUGAAAUUUUAAAACGAUAAGUGGUAUGAGGGCAAUCUGUUGAGUGUGUCUUUCUCUUCUCUAUUUGCUUUAAGUAAUUCUAAGGAUGUGUGGGUGCGUGGAGGAAGUUUAGAAUUACUCAACUAAAAAGGGGGGGGGGGGGGGGGGGGGNNNNNNNNNNNNNNNNNNNNNNNNNNNNNNNNNNNNNNNNNNNNNNNNNNNNNNNNNNNNNNNNNNNNNNNNNNNNNNNNNNNNNNNNNNNNNNNNNNNNGGGGGGGGGGGGGGGGAGGGGGAGGAGGGAAGGUGAAAUCCUUAUUUUUCUAGACCUUUUAAUGAUUGGGAGAUGGAUUGUGUGGAGAGAUUUCUAGCAUGUUAAUUUGCAUGGGAAGAGAGUGUAUAGGGAUGCAGAAAAUACAAUGCUUUGGACAAUGACAAAGAGUGGCAAGUUUAUAGUUAAUUCUCUUUACAAUGCUUUGGAGCUAGACAACUUCGAGUCUUUUCCAAUAAGAGGAAUUUGGCUCUCAUGGGUAUAACCUAGAGUGAGUUCCUAUUUUAUUUUUUAUUUUUUAUUUUUUGUUGAAGGCUACGUGGGUAAAGUUUUAACCUUGGAUCAAGUUCAGAGAUGAGGAUGGUGUUUAGAAAAUAGGUGUUAUUUUUUUCAUUUGUUUGAAAAAUCCAUAGAUCACUUGCUUCUCCAUUGUGAAAAAACAAGGGUUUUAUAGGAGUUGUUUUUUGCAUUUUUUUUUUGAUAUUUUUGGGUGCUUCCUUUAUUAGUUAAAGAGAAUCAUUGGGGUGACAUGGUUUUUUUGUGGAAAAAAAGUGUGGGAAGGUUUAGAGUGCAAGCCCUUUAUAUUUGUUUUGGAGAUUUAGAAGACAAGGAACAAAAAUGUGUUUGAUGAUGAGGUGUUUUCUUUCAAAAAGCUAAAAAAUGAUUUUUAUUUGGUUUAUUUGGUUAGAGACUAAGUUGUUUAUGUAUGAUUGUCUUUUGACUUUAGUGAGUUACUUUGAUUGGUUGGGCCUUGGUGAGGGUCCAAUUCUUUUGGUUUUUUCUCCUAUUUGAGCCUUGGUGGUGGAGGGAGGUUUGUUUCUUGUAUACCUUAGGUUGCUCUUUUGGUGACUCAUUUUAAUUUAAUUUGAUUCUUUAUCUAUCAUUUAAAAAUAUAAAAAAAAUCAUAUCCUUCUUGGAGUUAGAAUAUGUCGGUUGAACAUACAAUAGAAAAAUUUACAACUCAAGUAUUAGAGGAGUAAUCUUGAUGGGUUGAUAACAUUACCCUAUUAUUUUAUGGACACCAAUUCAUGGGGUGUCUGUAUGCAAUAGAAAGUAGAUCACAAACCUGAGCUUUGUCUCAUUGCAAUUUCAUAAAAUACUGGCGUGUAGUUAACUCUUUUUAGUAGAGUAUUGAGUCAACUUCAUAAUUGGAAUAUAAAGGAGCCAAUAUUUUCUUAUAGGUCCCAAUGGUCCCCCAUCGAGCUCUUAGUUCAUAUUGGCAUGUUUUGAGGGUAUUUUGGCUAUGUACUUCAUAAGUGUAUAUAAGGGUGUUUUAAUAAGAAUAUAAUAUUGCACUAGAUCUUAUGAAUUGAUUUUCUUAAAUGGGCUAAUUAAUUAAUUGGAACAUGUUAUGGCUAAUUAAUUAAUUAAGACUGAAGCCUAAUUUGGGUUCAAGUCACUUAAACCCACAAAAAAAGCCUAUAUAAACCCCUUAGGGGUUAAGACUUUAUUCUUCUAGUUCGGUUUUCUAAAAUUGCAAAGAGAGGAACCCAAGUCAACCUCAAGAAGAGAGAAAAGCUCACCAUUCUCUCAUGCCAAGCAUCCAUUAUGGGAGAGAUUGGCUGGAAGAUCAUUGGAUAAACUAGUUCUACAACAACCACAACGUUUUCAUCAAAUGGGAUUCUAUCUAGGAACAUUCAAAUCACAAGUUUGAGCUCUUUCUAUGUAAAUCUAGGUUUUUUUUUGUUUUUAUACUUAUAGGUUUGAAAACGAUGAGAAAUCAGGAUAAAUAUGACCAAAUGUAUUUUAUAUGGAAGUGGAUGUUACCAAUAUGACAAAAUAUAUUCUAUGUUGACUGGAAAUGAUGUGAUAUCCAAUCAACCAAAUCACGUGGAAUACAUUUAGCAAUGAUAAAGUAGGUUUGGUGAUGUAAAUAUAAGGCCCCAAUAUUUGGGUUAGGCUCGUUUGGGUUAAGAACCUUUUCGGAUUUUCUUAUUUGGUGGCACAAACUUGACCGUGACAUAUACCAUUAUUCUAACACUAAAGUGGACCACUAAAAUGCCCUACAAAGCGCUAAUAUUCAACUCACAAGUUAGAUAGUUAUCAUGAUGCAAAAUAAUGCUUCCCAUAUUAUAAUUUUUGAAAAUAUGAUAAAGGAAAAGUUGAAUUAUCACAAUUCAUUUUUCGUAAGUAUGUAAUAAUCUAACAAAUUUAAAUCAUAUUUCGUAACUAUUAUCAAAAACGGUUCUUAAAAACACUUUUUGAAAAAUUUUCUUUAAUAUUUUAUAAAAAAAAUAUUUAUUUAAAAAUUUGAAAUGUUUUAAACCUAUUUUCCAUUUAAAAAAAAUAUGUUUUAAAAAUAACUUUAUAUAUACUAUUUUAUUUGUAAUUAUUCUCCAAAUUUAUGCAAUAUUUUUUAAGACAAUAUUUAUAAAACUAUUCUAAAUAAUUGUUUUCAAAACCAUUUCAUACAUAGACCCUUUUAUCGUUUUUUUCUUCUUUUCUUUCUUUUUUUUUUUUUUUUAAGAUGCCUAUUAUUAUUGGAAAGUAGUUUUAAAGUAAAUGUAGAGAGCGCUGAUCAUUUUGAUGCAUUAGUUACAUAUUUUGGACAUCUUUCUCAUUACUUUUUAUUAUAUUAAUUUGCUCUUCUACAUCUAUAUAUUGGUUUUCCUUGUUCUAUUUGAUAUACUUAAUCAUUUUUGUGAGAAAAAGAGGAGAUGACACAUACAUUCAUAUUUAUUUUGAGUAACGAUGAUUCUACAUUUUAUCAUUUUCUCAUAAUUUUUAGAAUUUUCUUAUAAUGUUUGGGAUUUUUGAAUUGUGAUAUUUAUAGCUUAUCAUAUAAAUUAAUUACUAUUUUUCCCAUGCAUUACUUUUCACUGGUGUUAUUUGUAGGUUACAUGUUUCCAUGAUCUUUAAAGACUUACAAAGCAUUGAUGGAAGAUCAUCGAGUUGAAAUUUUUAGUUUAGACAUAAAAGAUUGAGAUGGUGUUUGUUUUUUUAACUUAAUUCUAAAUAAAACUUAAAACUAAAUAAUGUUUAAUAAUGUUAAGUAUUGAGUUAUUUGUUUUUUUAAAUAUUUUAUUUAUAUUAAAUAUUAAGAAAUAAAGAUAAACUAAUAAAUUAUUUUAACAUUAAAAAAAAUUAACUUAAAAAUUAGCUCAUUGAAUAAGUAAAUUCGGUAGGAUGGUACCAAUGAAAUCGAGUGCUAACUCCCAUUUCUUAUUGAAUUAACUUAUCAACUUUCUAUCGAACUUUUGGAUUUGAUAAUUUUCGCAAAAAAAAUCAUUUAAUUUGACUUUAUUAUUAUUAUUAUGAGAAUAAAUCCUACUACUUUUGGUUAUGGGGUUUCCAUGCUUGAAAAAAAAAACCUAGGGCGUAUCACUCAAAUCAUUGGUCUAGUCCUGGAUGUAGCCUUUUCCCCGAGUAAGAUGCCUAAUAUUUACAAUGCAUUGGUAGUUAAAGGUCGAGAUACUGUCCGUUAACAAAUUAAUGUGACUUGUGAGAUACAACAAUUAUUAGGAAAUAAUAUUUUGACUUUUUUUAUUCAAUUGAAAAUUUUAAGAAAUAAAUAAUAAGUUAAUAAAAAGUAAAAAUAAAAAUAAAUGAUCUGAAAUAUAAAAAUAAGUUGCUUUUUUAUUUUAUUUAAAAAAGUCAAAUAAAUAAAGAGACAACACCUAAGUGGUAUAUAAACUCAUUUUUUCAUAGCAUUGGAGGAGUUAUGUAAUAAUUAUUUAGACAUAAAAUUGUUAAAAGGGGAUAUUGCUAGUGAUUUAGAUUAACUACUUUAGUUUGAUAAUCUUAUUCCAAAUAAUUAUUCGUCUAAUAUUGUUGCAUAUUUUCUAAGAUUAAUAUAGGUCUUGAAGAUUUAAUUAAGAUCAUCAUCACUUUGUAAACGAGGCCAUCUAGGUAAGUAUGCUUGAGUUAGUUUAGUGAAUGAUAUAAUUAAGAAGUGUAUUUUGAGAAUUAUUACAUAACAUGAGCUUUAUAGGUUUGGAAAAGCAAAUUUGAGAAGGAGUGCUCAAGAGGUUCUUAAGAGCGCUCACUAUAAAACAUGUUAAGAGUUAAACAUGAAGAUGCAUAUAGAUACUAGCCAAUGUAAAGUCCUCAGGGAAUUGAUAGCUUCUAAUUCAUGUAAAAUUGUGAUUUAUUUUUUCAUAUUAAGUGAAUUUUCUCAACAAUCAAUUGACCAAUGAUAUUUAAUUAAUAUAUAGUUUAUAUAUAUAUAUAUAUAUAUAUAUAUAUAUAUAUAUAUAUAUGAUCAAUUUUUGUUUUGAAAUUUGAUGUCUGCUAUUGAUCAAAGGAUUAAGAAAGAAAGAAAGAAUGAAUGAAUUAAUCAAUCUCCAUGUGUAAUUUCAAGAAUCAAAAUUAGAACUUCUAAAUGACAAAAUAAAACUAAGAAUCAAUUUUAUAGUGAUUUUAGAAAGUGUUUCUAACAUUUUUAACACUUUAAAAUUUCUAUCAUUUAAAUAUUAGAAAUAUUAUAAACAUUUUCUAAAAUCAUUAUCAAAUAUAUUUUAAAUGAGAUUCAACUUAAAUUUGUGUUUCUUGUUGAUGGACGUGCAUGUUAGUAUUUUAUAGUCGAGUGAUGAACUCAUCUCUUAAUUAAAUUUUAAAGAGAACUCUUAUCAUUGGAAGAUGUGGUCUACCAUGAUCUUUGACUUUUCAGGGUUAUAUAUAUUGAAUACUAAAGUAAAAAUUAAUAAAUUAUGGCUAAAGAGACUUAAAUCGGAAUUUCUUGCUGGAUGGAUGUGCGAGUGUAAAAAUAACAAGUGUAAUUUCAUUGAUCGGACGAUGUAAUGAAUUAUACAAAUAAUUUAACUAUUUUUUAUUUUUUUUAAGUUUGGAGAUGAAUCACCCAAAUGAUGACUCUUGAAAUAGACCCAUUGGAUGUGAUGUCAAAUAUCAUAAAAUGUUUGAUCUAUCCUUAUUGAUCACCAAUUGGUUUUCAAAUGACAUGAUCAAAACUCAAUCUUAGAGUUGGUAUAUAUAAGAGAUUGUGCAAGAAGCAUCGUAAUUGGGCAAAUAAAAAAUAAUGUUAAAUAACUAUAUUUUUCAUACAAAUUUGUAUGGUAUAUGAUUGAAGAAGAGAGUAAAGAAGUGUUGUUUGACUGGAAUUCUUAACAGCAAGGUCAGAGCUCUCUACAGGGAGUCAAUGAGGACUUUCCCAACAUUACCUUCUACCUGCUCUCUUCUCUUCUAAUUUCAAUUCUAACCGCUGGAAGAGAUGGGAGUGGUUUGGUGCCGAGGAUUCAUCCCCUCACCUCAUCCAAGUUUUUGUUGAGUCCAAACAAAACUUUAAACACAUGUUCUUUUCCAACAAUUUUCUUAUACUUCUGAGAAUACUUAGUACAACCGAAUUUAUUUUCAUCAAAUAAGUCUAUAUGUUGCCAACGCCUAUUGAGAAUAUUGAUAAAGUAUUGAGUUAUUGAGAGUUCUUCUUGCUUGAGAUCAUUAAGAAGCUUUCUCCUGGCAUUUCAGUUGAUGGUACAGAUAGCGAGGCCCAUACACCUAUGGCAAUCAGUGUUCCAGAUUCUGAUUUUCAUGAUUUUGAUUUGAACCAAACUAAAAGUUCUUUUGGAGAUAAUCAGGUCUGGUCGGCAUACGAAAAUGAUGAUGGGAUGCCUCGGUUCUAGGCACUGAUUCACAGAGUGAUCUCUUCGAAUCCGUUCAAGAUGAAGAUCAGUUGGCUUAAACCCUAAAAGCAACAGCGAAUUUGGUCCAGGAGAUUGAAUAGGCUGGUUGAAUGGAUAAUGGGGUGGGUUCAGUAUGGGGCCCUCCUUGAGAAAUAUCCAACAGCAAAUUAGGACCUUUUUGUCUUAUUCAAAAGGGUCAGACGGCUGGAACACAGGUGCUAUUGAGUUAAAUGUUGCCAUUGGGCAAGGAAUCGAGACCACUAGCAUCCACAGAGCAAACACAAUUGCACCGUGGCCCCACGUGCGCAUGGCCAUGCAUGGCGACCUUUGGCGUGCAAUCCCAGCCGCCACAUGUCAUCCUCUUAUUUCUUCUUUCUUCUGAUGUCAAAAUUUAAUUUCCCAAUUUCUAAUUUUUAAAUUUAUUUUUCAAAACUUCAAUUUUCAAAUAAUUUUCAAAAUUCUAAUUUUUAAACUUUUUUUUUAUUUUUAAAAAAGCACCUCAAAUUUCAAAUUUAAUUUUCAAAACUUCAGUUUUUAAAACUCCAAUUUUUAAAUAAUUUUUAAAACUCUUGUUUUCAAAUUUAAUUUUCAAAACUCUCAUUUUCAAAUAAUUUUCAAAACUCUAGUUUUUUUAAAAAUAAUUUUAAUUCUACUCCAGUUUUAAAAUAUUUUUAAUUCUACAAUUUUUCAUCAUUCAUUAUGAAUUUAGGUCACCAAAAAUCUCGAAUUUAAUAAACUUGUUGUCAUUCUUUUUCUAGCAUGCACUUUUACAAAUUUUAUUUGAUUUUUAAUUUAUUUUCUUUUCGUUUUUUCUCCUUUUUUAUAUAUAAAAAUGAAUAAAUUUUCAUAAUUCCAAAAUAAUGGAAUUUAUAGGAAUUAAUCCAUAAUAAAAUAAAUAGGUAAAUUGGGCUUUAGUAGGGGUCUACAUAUGAGUUUUCUCUUCUAAUUGUCAACUGUUAUACUUAAUGAAUAUUGUUUGAUCUUUGUUCUACUAUUUGACAUGCAUGUGCUAAUUUUAUCAUUAUGAACUAACCUUGUUUCCAUGAUAUCAUGUUCUUAUUUGCUAUUAAGGUAUGCUUUCACUCCUACUUCAUUUAUUUAUUCGUUCUUAUACUCAAAUUGUUUUAUUAUUUGAACAUUUCAUUGGUAUCCAUUGAUUUCCUUAGCAAUUGUCACACUUGCCUCACCUUAUUUAAUAGAGACCCAUUUUUAGAGACUUAGAAGGGUGCUACGACUCACCACCAUAUCUUUCCAAUAGGUAACCUAACCCUUGGACCUAGACUUGAUUUUUCACAAAUCUAUUUUUUUUUCUUUAGGAGUCAUACUUAAGGUUUUCUUUUUAAUUUUGUUUUUCCUUAAAAAAAAUAAAACAAAAAUAAGUGGCGACUCCAAGUAUUUUUCAAAAAAUAAAAUUUUUCAUAAAUAAAAAGUGAGUUCCUCAUCGAGUGGGAAUGCAUCGUGCAAAAAUGCAGGGUCCACGCCUUGAAAUUUAUUUUUAUUUUAUAGUAGAAUCCAAAGUUUUGUAAUACUUAAAUGGCAGAAAGAGAGCAAUCAAGCUUCAUGUGCUAGUAUUUUAUUUAUUUUUUAUUUAUUUUAGUAUUUCUUGUUUGGAUUGAAACAAAAACAAGGAUAUCAUACAAAAUUAUAAUAAAUUUUUAAAUCUUUUAUUUCUUUCAAAUAGAUUAGUAUAUAUUAUAUUAUACAUAAUGCUAAAUCAUAGAUGCUUCAAAUGAUUAAGAAGGAUAACUAAUUAUCUUUCUAUUAAAAAAAUAAAUGAUGUCAUUAAUUGUUGCAAACUAAUUUACAUUAUGGGAUGAUGAGUGGGUUGGUCAUUCUAUCAUCUUCAAAAUUAUCCUAGAUAAUAAAAGUAGUCCUAUAAUUAAUGAUUAAAUAAAAAUAUUUCUUUUUCAUUUUUUUUAAAGGUGGUUAAGAAACCAAAUGCUUGUACAUAUUAUGUUCUUUUCUUUUAAUAUUACAUUUGUCAUUUUUUUUUCAUUUAUGUACUGAAUUUUUUAAAGAUGACUUCCUUAUUUAAUAAGAGAAGUAAGUGUCUCAAUUAGAGUUUAUAAUAACGCUUGACUUUUUAUUAUAGAAAGAUGAAUAAUUUAAUCAUAAAACAAAAGCAAGUGUGGAAAAUUGUAGUAAUUCCUAUAUAAAAUGUAGGAGCUCUUAGAAAUUUAUCUUUAAAAAAAACAAAAAUUUUAAAAAUCAAUUCUUAUACAAAAUCAGAUAUUAAAAUUUUUUUGACUACCUCAAUUUUUAAAAAUCUUGAAAGUAAUUUUUAAAAAUAUAAAAUUUAUAUCUCAUGCAAGUUAUUGGAUUUCAUAUAUAAAUUACUAUUAUUUUCUCUUUUAGAAAACAUGAAAUUAGUAAGCCGGAGGACACUUAGACACAUAUACAUUAAAAUCAAGGGAAAUAUGGUAUCCACAUUUUUUAUUUAUGAAAAAUUAAAGAAAAUGAACAUGCCUAACUUUAUAAAUGGUUUGUAUGGAUUGACAUUUUAUAAGAUGAAAAUGACUACACUCCAAUAUGCUAAUAUUCAUGUCAUAUUUUAGUCGUGUUAUCAUGUUACAUCAAAAUUGUCAUACUGAUAUUUUUUUUUUUUAUAAAUUUAAUAAUAUGGUACAUAACUUUUGUAGAAAGAAAAGUUUAUAAGCUAGCCUUGCUAAACAUAUACCUAUAAAAAAUAUUUCAAAACAAGUGUAUAAAAAAUGGUCAUCAAAUAAAAUAAUGUUUGGAUUUAACAAAAUAACCUUGGGAUUUUAGGUUUAAGAAAUUUUGAACUAGGGCUAUCAAAGAUAGGAUUUAAUGAUAUUGGUUGGGAUUAUGAUAAUUUUUUUUUAUAUAGUAUUUGAAUUAUGACUGACUACAUCUAUAAUUAUAAUUAAAUAUUGAAUAUAUCUCUUUUCAUAAGGCACUAUGAAAUAAUUUGUAACAUAAUUGAAGCACAAUAAAAAAAAAUUUAAGCUACUUUGGUCACUAUGCAUAUGAUCUUAAUAGAUAAAUGAGGAUAAUUUAUCAAUGUCUCAAAGUCAUUCUUGAAAGUACUUGUAAAUAAUUUCAAAUAAAUAAAAUUAUCCAUGCCUAAAAACAUACAAAUUAAAAUCAACAAUUCAAAUUAUCCAUGCUAAAAAACAUACUAAUUCAAAUUAUACAUGCUUAAAAACAUAUAAAUUAAAAUCCACAGUCCAAACAAAAAGUCUCUUUUAUGGCAUUAUCAUUCUGGUUCAAUACUGCAUCUCUACCACCCUUCCAAUUCCAUAACCAAUAGUUAGUCAUGUUUCCAUGCGCAACCUGACCAAUGGUUAGUCAUAGUUUAAUUAUCCUGUGCUUUUUCAUCUUAGAAAUGAAGCAAAGUAAGAGCAAAACAAAUUUUAAUUCAUGCUAUGCAAUUUGAAAAACAUAUGAUAAUUGUUUUGGCCUACCAAUUAAAAAAUGAAGCUCUAAAUAAAAUUUUUAAUUAAUUCAAACAAAAUUAUGGCCUACCAAAACAGCUACAGUAAUAUGGUUUUUCUUUUUAAAAUCAAUAAUUCAUUCCAAAGAUAAAACUUUGAUAGGUCCUAAGACAUUUAUUAGAAAAAAUAAAGGAGUUUUAACUUUAGAUAGGUCUAAGAAUACAGGAUCUCCGAAUUUCAUAAAAUCUUGGAAUAAUUAAAAACAAAUAAAAUAAAAUAAAGGCAUAAAAAAAAUGAAAUUUGAAUUUUAUUUUACUAUAUCUAAUUCCAUAUUGAACUCUAUAUUCUUUCAAGCAUGUGAUCAUUUUAAAAUAUAUCUAUAUAUUUUUUUCCACUAAUUCUACUAAAUAUUUUAACCUUCAAUAAACACCAAAGACAAAGAAGGCAUACCUUAUGGGGUAGAGUUGGAAACUAGAGAUAUCUUCAUCUUUUUUGGUUGGAUUCACUGCAUCAUAACAUUUUUAUUUUAUUGUAAUGACUAAAUAAGAAAAUAUAGAUAUAAACUCAAAAGCAUAUAAGUUACAUGUUUCAAACAAUCUUGAUAUGGCCUUAAAGGAGUGGCCGAGUCAGAUAAGUAGGCUGCAAAGUAACUUUUUUGUUUUUAUUUUUGAAUCAUGAAUUAUAAUAAACAUACAAAUUUUUUAAUAUUUCAUGAAGUGCUUUAUCAUUUAACAAAAUAAGUGAUUAUUGAUAUUAGUUAUGAAAGAAAAAAUAUAUAAAAUAAAAAAUGAAACAAUGAAAUGGAUAAAGAAAAGUUUUAAUUAUUGAUAUUAUUUAUGAAAGAAAAAAACUUAGAAAUAAUUAAAUUGAUAAAAAUUUUAUUUAAAUUUUUUUUCUAACAAUAUAAUAUAAAUGUAGCACCAUCGUUAUCAAUAGUAAAUUGGUAGUAAAAAUCUUAAAGUCAACCAAAGCAACCUACCAUAAAAAAUUAUUUAAUAAAAUAUAAAUUAUUUAAAUAAACUUAAAUUUUAUCAACAAUUAAAUAGAAUAUAAUCUAAAUAAUCUAUCUACUUGAAUAAGUCCUAAUUUUUAUUUUUAUUUUUAAAAAAGAGUUUUUAACUUUCAGACAAACCGAAACUGCGGGAUCCAAAAAUCUCCUAAAAUUUUGGGAUAAUUAAGAACACGUGAUUAAAAUAAAAUCAUGAAAAUAUAUAUAUCAGCUGGGUUAUGAUUUCAAAUGUUAUCUAGAUAUUUCAUUUUUCACUAAUUCCAUCUAAUAAAUAUUUUAUUCAUUAGUGAAUGAAAAAAGAAGAGAGAGAACACAUACCUUGCUAGAGGUUAAAGAAACCCUUCAUCCUUUCGAAACUAGAGAAUUUUUUUCUUGGAUGAGUGAUCUUCUCUAUUAGCAGGCCUUUUUCUCGACGGCUGAGGCCAAUGCUUCUGAUCUUGGGCGUAUAUGAGAUGUAUCCCACAACUUUUCACUUUAAAGGAUGCGUUUUCGCCACAUGUAAAAGAGGCAUUACCGACAGGAUUGUCAAAGUGAGCCUUGAAGUUGUUCCACUUUCUGGAUCGAUACUUGCUUGGAAUGCCAAUCUGAGGGAAAUACGUCACCCACAGUGCUGGAUCUGAUGUGCUACCACUGUCGUAGCGUGUGCUGCCAUAUGAUAAACCGCUAAUAGAGUAUGUUUUACAAUGAGGAUGAAAACCAAUAUCAUCCAGUCGUUUAGAUUGAUCACCAUGGGAUAUCGCCAAUUUACAAUGUGGAAUAAAACCAGAUGUUCUCACGCAUUCAUCAUCAUCAUCAAGGGGAACAUGAUGGAAGAAUAAAACAAAUCCUAACAAGUUAUUAUCUUCAUACCAAUUCAUUGGAAGCUCUACACUUACUUCACAUCCCAUUCUUUGAUGACUUACCCACUCUGGUAUUCCACUACUUCCUGGAAUGAUAAUAUUAAAUUUCUGCUGCAGAAAAAAAAUGUCAUGUAAAUCUCAUGCUUUUUAAAAAAAAAAGAAAGAAAAGGGGAUAAUUAUGCCAUGAAAAUGAUACCUGAAUUGGUGAUUUCAAGUGUUUGAGCAAAGAAGACCAGAGUAGACUUGAAGAAGUUUCAGUUUCCAGGCUUGGACAACCAUGUGCCUCUAUCCAUCCAAGACUUGAUGGAAGCUCUCCAAUUACUUCAAGCAUCGGACAAUGAUUAAUGAGAAGGGUACGAAGCUUACAAAGUUGAGUGAUGCCAGCAGGGAUGCAACGCAUACGGUUUUCACUUAUGUUUAAAAAUACCAGUAAGGAUAGGCACCAUAAAUCACUGGGGAUUUCUUCUUCCAUCAGAUUGCAACCACCUAGAUCUAGCAUUGUUAAGCAACAUUGUAGGCUUCUCAAAUUGUCAGGCAAGUUGUGGAGCUUUGGACAGUUACGAACAUGAAGACUAGUGAGACAUGUCAAAUUACCGAUGCUAUUGGGAAGAGCCACAAGGUUCUCACAAUUGAUCAAUUCCAAGGAUUUAAGACCUCUCAGAUGUUCAAUUGAUGAUGGCAGCUCUGAGAUACCCGUCUCACGUAAAAAAAGGCGUUCUAAUUGUUCCAUAUCCUCCGUGAUCUCUGAAAAAGCCUCUAGAUUUGAACAACCAUUGAGAGAGAGGCCUUCGAGGGAUUUCAACUCACAUAUACUGUUUGGAAGACUUUUCAAGUUUUUACAAUUGUCCAAAUUUAAGUGAUCAAGUCUGGUGAGAUGACCUACUGAGUAGGGUAAUCCUUCAAUAGCAGUCUCAUCUAGAAAAAGAGCCCAUAGAUUCCCCAUAUUUUUUUGGAUCUCAGGAAACCUCUCAAGAUUUGAGCAACCACUGAGAGUAAGACUUUCAAGGGCCUGCAAGCGCCCAAUGCUAUUUGGGAGUUCCUUAAUAGCGGUAUUCUCUAAAGAAAGCUCCUUCAAGCAUUUCAUAUUCCCUUGGAUCUCUGGAAAUUUCUCAAAGUUUGAGCAAUAUGAGAGGUUAAGAUUUUCAAGAGAUUCCAAAUACCCAAUGCUCCCUGGGAGUUCCUUAAUACCACUCCUAUGUAGACAUAGCUCCCUUAAACGUCCCAUAUUGGUAAAUACAUCUGAAAAUUUCUCAAACUUCAAACAUUUUUCAAGAGAAAGAAUUUCAAGAGAUGUCAAGGACCCAAUGCUGUUUGGGAGUUCCUGAAUAGCAGUCUUCCUUAAAUAAAGGUUCUUCAAGCAUUUCAUAUUCCCUUGGAUCUCUGGGAAUUUCUCAAAUUUUGAGCAACAUGAGAUGUCAAGAAUUUCAAGAGAUUCCAAAUACCCAAUGCUGCUUGGGAGUUCUUUAAUACCACUCUUACGUAAAUGAAGCCUCCUUAAAUGUCCCAUAUAGGUAAAUGUAUCCGGAAAAUUCUCAAACUUUGGACAUCCUUCUAAAUAAAGCUCCCUCAAAAAUUUCAUAUUCCCAUGGAUCUUAGGAAAUUUCUCGAAGUUUGAACAAUUUGAGAGAUUAAGGACUUCAAGAGAUGCUAAAUACACAAUGCUACUUGGUAGUUCUUGGAUCCCACUCUCGUUUAAAUAAAGCUCCUUCAAACAUUCCAUAUUCCCAUGGAUCUCAGGAAACUUCUUCAAGUUUGGACAACAAUUAAGAUAAAGAACUUCAAGAGAUUCAAACUUCAUGCUGGAUGGGAAACUUCGGAGUUGUUCACAUCCUGCUAAAUUCAAGUAAGUCAAACUUUUGAGAUCGCCAAUAGAUGAAUGAAGUUCACACAAGCUUGUACAACCUUCAAGAUUCAGUCUCUCCAAAUUCGGCAUGCUUGAGAAUUUUGGCAUUUUGACCAACUGUUUUGAGUUACUUAGAUCAAUGCCCUUUAAUUCUUCAAGACACUGUAAUAGAAGACAUUUUGUUAAUAAAUAAAAUAAAAUUUCUUUAACUUGAAUAUUAUUAUAAAGAAAAAAAAUAUUAAAUAAUGAUCAUACCUUAUUCCCUUUCCAAAGUUGUUUUAUGUUGCUAGACUUCAAGUUGAUUUCAAUAAGGUGCUUUCCAUAAAAGUUCCAAGGUAAAGAUGUCAAAGUGCAUCUUUGCCAAUGAAGAUAUCUCAAAUCAUGAGGAAAUUGAAAGUCUUUAGGAAGAAGCACUUUAUACUUCUCUCUCGUCAAACCAUCAUGAUCAUUGCAAUAGAUUUUAAGCAACCUAAGUUUCUUCAUCUUGGAAAACACUUUUGUAUUGAACUGUAUUUCUCUUGAUCUAGACAAGUCCAAAGAUAUGGUUUGAAUAUUUUGCAUCUCCUGUAAAACAAUAAGGAAAAAUAAGGGAAGAACACAAGAUAAAAAUCCUAACUACCAUUAUAUAGACAAUUAACCACUAAAAAAUCAAUUAUACACAUUUAAAUAAAUAUUUAGGCAUUUAAUUCGUACCUCUUGUCUAGAAAAUGCAUCAUAAAUAUCAUCUACAUCCCACAAUCUACUCCAUUUGCAGGGGUCUCCAGGACAUUCUUCACGAACAAUUGCCCAACCCAUUUCGUGUAUCAAGUCAUGCAUUUGUAUCAUGUUGUCUGAGAUAGUUACUAGACAUCUAUCAUGGAGAACUCUUAUGUUGCAUGUUGCAAAUAAAUUGCAACCAUCUAAUAUUCUUGACACAAAAUCUUUGCAUUCACCUUUGAAAAAACACGCAAUGUCCAAGAAAACCUCCUUUUGAGAAGGAUCAAGCCCAUCAAAACUUAUUCUAAGCACAUCAUUAAUUUCCUUCAUAGGGUUUUUUUUCAAUUUAUCCGAUGCGCUUUUCCAUUCAUCUAUUGUCAUGCCUUGAAGAGAAGAACCUACAACUUUAAGGGCCAAAGGGAGACCUUGAGCAUAUUGAACCAUGCAAUUUGAGAGGUCUACAUAAUCUUCCUUAGGAACAUUUUGUUUAAAGGCAUGUUGGCUGAAGAGUUGAAGAGCUUCCUCAUAAUGUAAUGCUGUAGCCUUAUGUGAUAUAGUCACUCCAUACUCAACCAACAGAUGUUGGUCUCUGGUUGUAAUGAUAAUUGUACUUCCUGGACCAAACCAUUUAGGACUUCCAGCCACUGACUCUAAUUGCUGCAACCGAUCCACAUCAUCAAUUACAAUAAGAACCUUUUUUGAGCGAAGUCUGGACUUGAUUAUAUUGACGCCUUUAUUGAUAUUGCUAAACUCUACAUCAUUCCCCACUGUAUCAUGUAGAAGUUGUUGUUGUAGUUGAAGUUGAUAACCCUUGUUGAAUGUCUCUCUGACAUCUUGAAGAAAGCUUGCACCAGUGAAUUGAUAUUGGAUCUCAUUAUAAACAAUCUUGGCAAUGGUAGUUUUACCAAUUCCACCAGGUCCAUAGAUCCCAACCAUACGAAUGUCAUUCAAGUCACUACUUAACAAUGAUUUUAGUUCUUUUAAGCGAAAAUCCAUCCCAACUAUAUCAUCGUUAAUGUGCAAAAGCUUAGAAUUCAUUGAUCUUCUAAAAAUCUGGUUAAUAAUUUCCUUAAUAUGCUUUGACUCAUACCUGCCAAUUAUAAAGUACAAUUUAACACUUCAUGAGUCAUAAUGAAUUGCAAAGCAUAAGAAAUAUAAAGUAAAUUUAGUGAUAUUUACUUGAUUUUGUCCAUAUAACAAAAGUAAUAGGAUGUAAAAAGUAUUAAAAGAACCCAAUAUAUUGAGCAUUUUACAGAUAAUGAGAAGGCAACAAGUUUUGAGCCUAGUGUUAAUAAGAUCGCAAAGCAAGCUUUACUAUACAAAAUUAUUAACUUGUUAAUUCAUGAUUUAAGACAACUAAAUCCUUACAACUUAAUUAAAUCAAAAGCACAAAUUAAGGAAGUUGAAGUUACCCAUCAUUCACAUGGAAACCACUUAGAUUGCUUGCUUCAGUCAAGGAAUCCCUCCACCUUUGCACCUUUUUCGCAUCUACAUUUCUUUCAUGAAUGGAAAAUGCCUCUCCGAAGCUCCCUGUUUGCUUUCGCACAUCACAAGGAUCCAAGUGGUAGAACACCGGAAAGACUAUUUGUUCCAUUUCUUCCCUGCACUCCAUGAUCUUCGCUAACUCAUCCAAACACCACUUGGAAUGAGCAUAGUUUUUUGAGAACACCACUAUGGAAAUUCUUGAUUCUUCAAUAGUUUUCAAAAGUUCUGAUUUGAUCUCCUCUCCUCUUUCAAGUUGAUCGUCUCUGAAAGUCUUAAUCCCCAUCCCAUGCAAAUUUACGAAUAAAUGAUCCGUAAAAUUGUUGCGGGUGUCUUCACCUCUAAAACUCAAGAACACUUCGAACUCAUAUUUACGGACUGAGGUAGAAGAAGAGGGUUUUUGGGUAGAGGAAGCCAUUGUUGGACAGUUUCUGGAUGAAAGCUUAGAGAGAGUUGAGAAAGAACUUGUGCAAAACUCACUUCGAUAUGAAGCAAAAUUCACUUCGAUAUGAAGCAAAACUCUUUUUUUUUUUUUUUUGUUGUUGUUUUGUGGUUGAAUUGUAAAAUUUUAAAAAUAUAUGCAAGUAGGUGAUCCUGGAUGUGAUUUGUCAGUUAAAUGUCAACGAGUAAUGUGAUUUGUCCUUCUUUAAAAAAAUAUAAAGAAGGACCCACCCAUCAUAAAACCCGUAAAAGCCUUACAAUAAAAUUUUAGUCUUCGGUAUUAUGGCCAUUGGCGCUUUCUUUGUCCUAAAUUUUAACUUAAAUUCAAUUAAUUUUAAUUAUUUUAUUUUUAUACUCUAUUUAAUAUAUUAUUAAAGAUAUAAAAAUAUCAUAAUAAUCUUAUCAAAGUCUUUCUUUAUUAAAAAAAAAAUAAACUUUGGGUAUAAAAUUGUUAAUAUUUUUAAACAUAAAAAUAUAUGCAUAUAUCAUUAUUUUUUUUACAUUUUAAACAAAGAUCAUCAUUUUACUAUGAAUAAAAAUUUACUUAUUAUGAAAAUGUAAAAACCAUAAUAAUGAAUUAAUGAAAUAAUCUUUUAUGUUUUUUGUAUGAGGGAGUUUAAAUGAGGGCCUAAAGACUUAUUCUUAUUAAACUUAUGAAGAAAUUUUUUUACUGUUUCAAUGAACUAAGCAGUUUCCUUCUAGAAGUUGUUCUUUUUUUAAUUUGCGUUGAACUUAGGAAAAGAAUGCUUUAGAGUUUUUGGUUGUAUUAGAAACUGUUCUUUUCUUUUGGGUCCCCUCACCAAACGGGCAUUGAAGGAUAAUAUCUGUAUUCAGAGGUGAAUUGAGGCACUUGAUCCCGCCCCUUAGAUUUUCAUCUCCUAAUUUGGCUCCUUGAUUGCAAAUCCCUUUGCGACAUUUUUUCAAAAAGAGAAUAUGUUACUUUAUUCUAUUUGAUCAAUUCAAUGGCCAUUUGGACCUAUUUUUGGUGUCUACAAGAUGUCCAAACACUAGGAGACAACAUGUGCAUGUCAUUGUUAACCUAGUUGGAGCUUGAAAUUGUUUUCUAUUGACGAGUCAGGCUUGGGUUGCGGUGGACCUUGGCAUGAUUUGACGCUUAUUCUAAUCCAAGUUGGGCCGUAAUUUAACAAACUGGACUGAGGGCUUGAGCACUUUGUGGGAUUGAGGAAAUCUUCUUGGGGAAGUGGACCUUGAAGCUUGAAACAUCAAUGUCAACAAUUUGGAGACGUUCUAUGUACUAGAUGCUUAAUAUGAGUCAUCAAAGAAGUUUUGAUGAAGAUUCAAAGACAUCCAUGAAAGCUUGUUUUUUUGGCCUUCUUCAAGUGUAUAAUAAGCUUCGCUUUUGCUGGCCAAACUCUUUAAUAAAAUACGAUUUGCCGGCCAAACUCUUUAAUAAAAUGAGACAUUUGCUUACCAUGUCUUGUUUAUUUCUUUUAUUGUAUAUCCUAUCAUAGCUCAUGGUCGAGAACUAGUUGACCUAGUUUGUCAAAGCUAAUAAAUUAUUUUUAUAUAUUUCUUCAAACUUAUUUUACUUAUUUUCAUUUAUUAUAUAAAGAUUAAAUAAUUUUAAAAUGUACAAUUUUUUAACUAAUUUUAAUUAUAUUAAAUUUUCUUUAGUGUCUUCCAUGGUAAAACCAUACAGGAGAAAACCAUUUUCUUUGCAAUUUUUUUUUCUUUCCUUAAUAUUUUUCAGGAACUAAACAUAGCCAUAAUGAUUAUUCCGAACCCUAGAGGUUUAGUGAUUUGAUCACAACUAAUAUUAAGAUAAACAAGUAAUUAACUCACGAGUCUAAUAGAAUCCAUAAUAGUAAGUGGUAGAGUCUUUGGUCAUGUUUAUAUAUAUCUUGGAUUUGAUCAAUUUCUUUAAAUUUUUUGUUGAUUAUGAAUCUAAAUAUGAGGGUUGAAGCAUAAAUUUAACAAGGGAAUUGAAUAUAUUAAUGAUUCAAUUAUGAUCAAAAUAUAUAUUAAGAAGAUUGGACUGAAUUUAUUUUCCUUUUAUUAAUCUUAAAAAUCGUGACAACUUGAAGAAUAUAGUGGUAGGUGAUGGGAUAUGUACAAGAUGCUAAGUAUGAGUCAUGUGAUUUACUAUUUGAAAUUGAUGGUAUAUGGAUUUCACUACAUUAAAGUAGAUAAAAUAUUGUAGUUGAUGAUCAUCUUAAAGUUAAUUUAAUCUAAUAAACUAAGUAACUUAUUUAAAAUUUUCUUGCUUAAAUUAAGUUGGGAUUUUGAGUGUUUUUGAAAUGGUACCAUUUUAGUAUAUAGCUAAAAAAAAUUUUAACUUAAAUAAUAUUUACUGUGUAAUGAAAAUGAAGUAUAUAGCUACUAAAAUUUUGGAAAUAGCAAAAAGUAGAAGAGAUUAUGUUGAAAUCUAGUAAGAAUCUUAAUUUAUGAAGUUUCUAGUUGUGAAUACCUUUUUUAUUUGAACUUAAGUUAGGGUUACAUAAGGAUGGCGACGGGAUGGGUUCGGGACGGGUCGCCUUCAUCCCAACCUCACUCCAUUUAUUCAAAAUAAUUCUCAUCCUUGUCUCAUUUAAAAAAUUAAACGGGGUGGGAUGGGUAUGAGAAUUCUCAUACCCACCCUGCCUCUUUUAAGUUUUUUUUUUUUUUUUUUUUAAUUUUUAAGAUUACUUUUAAAAUUUUUUAAUUACAUUAAAAUAAAUAUAUUUUAUAAAUAAUUAAAUUAUUAUAUUUUUUAUAAGUUAUUUUAUUAAAAAAUAUUUUAUUAUUAUCUAUAUAUUAAAAAUAGUAAAAAAAUAAUUUAUUUAAUUUUAAAAAUUAAUUUUAUAUAUAAUCGGGGCAGGACGAUACGAGAUAAGACAAUACUCGAACUCAACCCAGGUUUUAAAAAAAUUAUCAAACCCGUUCCAAACUCAUUUAGUUAAAAUCAAACCCGUCCCAUUAGGGGUAAGGUGGGACGGGUACCCAAAAAAACCCACCCCAUUGUCAUUCCUAGGGUUAUGAGUGGUUGUAGGCCAGGGUAAUAAUAUGUUAGCAUAUAAAUACUAGAUUCUUGUUUGAAAUUCAAUAUUAUUUAUUAUGUGAUGACAAAGUUAAGCAUGUAGAAGUAUCCUUGCACUAAAAUUUAAUUUGAUUGACUAAUUUGAAAUUUUAAUGUUGAAUUGAUUAUACAACAAAUAAUUUUAAGAAUAUGUAAAAAAUAUGGGAGAUUAUAUCCAAAAAAAAUUUAUUCCUUUUCAUUUUUGUUUUAUUUUGAUUUUUUUUUUUUUUUUUUUAUUCAUGGGAGAAGAUGUUAGAGCUCCAAUACAAGCCGGUAGCAGAGGGAGUAUGGCAAUGACUAAGGUGGAAAUUUGUAAGAAAAAAUUUGAGGCAAAGAUCAAAAUAUAUAAGGGGCCUUGGUUUUUGGCCAUAAACCAUUUGAGUUUUCUAGAUCACCAUCAUCUUGCCAACAUGAGGUAGAGUUGGAGCAUGGACUUGCGGAGACUCAACAACAAUAGCUUGAUAUCCAAUAUGAGCUAGUUAAUUUACCAAUUGGAAGCAAACGAAAUCAAUAGCAUCAACCAUUUGAAGAGAUUUUACGUCAUCUACGAUUUAGCCAAGGAUCCUCAUGAUCCAUCACGAUGUAGCCAACAAAAUCAAUAACAUCAACAAGAAGUCGGAGCAUAGAUUUUUUCUGUGACAUUAACUAUUCGUUUUGGGUGAGAAUAGGACCAAACAAGCCCCAGUUAGACAUGAAAUCAAUAUUGGGAGCCAUAUUAUUGAAACAUUAAAAUGCACCACAAAUAUAGCUUAAUUCUUACAUGGUUCCGUUAUCAAGUCCUAAAUCAAUAUAUAUUUUCUAGAGGCUGGAGGCAAAUAGGGAAGCCCUUUGCUGGAAUGGGAGAUGGAUUAUAAGAAAUCUUUUCGUUUGGAUCUACUCUCUCCCAUUUGAAUUUCGUCACAAUAUUAUGUAUGAAAACAAGUACUUGAGCUCGAGCAUAUUCCCUUCCUGGGCACAUCCGAGGUCCUUCCCCAAAGGGUACAAAAGUGAAUGGUUCAGGUUCUCUUCCUUCAAAUCUCGAGGGAUCAAAUUUCUCAGGAUCUGGUAAGUAUUUGGUAUUUCUGUGUGUUGUAUUCACGUUCCAAUGUGUCUACAAGACAUAAAAAUUUGCAGCAAUUCAUGACUAUAUAACACAGAACUUAAUUUCUUUAAUGGAAGCAUAUUUAUGGCAAAUUAAUGUACCUACCUUCCAUCCCUUUGGAAUAGUAAAACCUGCGUAAGUGAAGUUUUUAAUGACUUCCCUAAAGGCUCCUUGAACAGGUGGCGUUAGCCUCAUUGUUUCAUUUGCCACAUUCCAAGAAUAUCUCAUCUUUUGAAUGUCAUCCCAGUUCAGAUAUUCUUCUGAGCCCUUGCUCUUUUGCGAUCUCCAUUUGUUCUAUUUGAUCAAAGAAGUCAAAUCUUAAAUUAGGUAACGUCACAAUCCAUAGCUAUUAGGCAAUCUAAUGCCAUUGAACAUAAACUAACCACUAAAGUGGUUGAUGCAUCAUGUCCUGAUCAUAUUUCUACUGAUGACUGUGCCAGCACUGGCAAGUUUUCUGUACCUUCUCUCUGGGUUAGCACUUCUUUGCCUUGAAUUAGGGCAUUUUUGCCCAAGUAUAGAAGUUUGAGAAAAGAAAAAAAAUCUCGUUCUCCUCAAAGUAUUUCUAAAAUUAUAGCGGUUUAUGGCAAGUGGAAUAACAUGGUAUUCACAUUUUAAAUGGACAAAUUCCAUGUAAGAAUAGCUCAUUGUGGUGUAACUCAUUUUUUGAAAAGUCUUUUUACAUUAAAUUUACCUUUUAAAAAGAGGAGUUCAUUGAACUUGUUUUUGAAAAUUUGAAUUCAAUAUUUUUACAUUGAACUUGUCUUUACAAAAAAUAGGUUUAGUAUAAUUGACAUGUCUUUUCAUUGUGGUGUAACUCAUUUUUGAAAAUAUGAAUUUAGUCUUUUUACAUUAAAUUUAUCUUUUAAAAAAAGGAGUUUAUUGAAUUGCUUUUUUUAAAUUUGAAUUCAAUAUUUUUACAUUGAACUUGUCUUUACAAAAAAAUGGUUUAGUAUGAUUAACAUGUCUUUUCAUUGUGGUGUAACUCAUUUUUGAAAAUACGAAUUUAGUCUUUUUACAUUAAAUUUAUCUUUUAAAAAAAGGAGUUUAUUGAACUGGUUUUUUUAAAUUUGAAUUCGAUAUUUUUACAUUGAACUUGUCUUUACAAAAAAUGGGUUUAGUAUGAUUAACAUGUCUUUUCAUUGUGGUGUAACUCAUUUUUGAAAAUACGAAUUUAGUCUUUUUACAUUAAAUUUAUCUUUUAAAAAAAGGAGUUUAUUAAACUGGUUUUUUUUUUAAAUUUGAAGUCGGUAUUUUUAUAUUGAACUUGUCUUUACAAAAGACAGGUUUAGUAUAAUUAACAUAUCUUUUUCAUCAUGGUGUAAUCCAUCUUUGAAAAUAUGAAUUUAAUCUUUUUACAUUAAAUUUAUCUUUUAAAGAAAAGAAGUUAAUUGAACUUGUUUUUUAAAUUUUGAAUUCAAUAUUUUUGCAUUGAACUUGUAUUUACAAAAGGUAGGUUUGAUAUAAUUAACAUGCAUGUUUUUUCAUUGUGGUAUAACUCAUUUUUUAAAAUAUGAAUUUAGUCUUUUUGCAUUAAAAUUAUCUUUUAAAGAAAGAAGUUUAUUGAACUUGUUUUUUAAAAUUCGAGUUCCGUAUGUUUAUAUUUAACUUGUCUUUUGAAUUGGAGAGUUUAUUUCAGCAAUCACAUGGAAGGUGGGUGGGGUAGGCACGUGCAUGAAUUAAUGUACAGUUUACUUGAGCGUGCAUGCACUAAAAUUUCGCCAAAAAUGGACGAAAUUUUGGAAAAAUAUCGGCAUUUUAGGAGCCACCAGCCAAAACCAUAUAUAAUGGAGAGGAUAAUUAUGUGUAUGUAUUUUGAUGUGGUAAGAAUUUCCAAGUAGUUAUAUGUGCCUCGACUGAUUAAUUUUAUGAGUUAUAUAUGUAGUCUAAAGUUCCUAUUAAUAUGAAUAGAAAGAAAUUAAUACUGCAUGUGACCACACCUACCCGCCUUGCAUGCCAACGCUCAAAUAAAUUUUCCAUGACAUCCUGCAUGUGACUAUUGUAGCUACCUUGCAUGUAAAUACUCAAACAAACUCUCUACUCAACAAAAAUUUUAGUGAAAUGGUCAGGCUUUGUAACAUGAUGGUAUAUAUACAUUCUUGUCCUUUGUGUUUUAUUUCUUUUUUAAUUAUGUUAUAAAGUGUUACAUCAGUUACCUUUGAAGCUUGUUACGCCAAGUUCCUCAUAUACAUUAUAGGUUAGCUAAAUGAUAUCUUGUAUCCUACAAGGAUUUUUAAGUAGUUAUAUUUAUUUGAGUAAGAAUGCGUUUGAUAGUAAUUCUAAAAAAUAUUUCUAAUUUUUUUAAUAUUUAAACUUUUUUAUCUUUUAAGUAUUAAAAAGAUUAAAAACACAUUUUUAAAUCACUACCAAACACACUCUAUAUUAGAUAUCUGUACUCAAAGUUCUUAUUGAGAUAAAUAGAAAGUAAUUAAUCCUACGUGUAACUACUAAUACCCUAACUCUCCAUUAAAUAUUGUAUGUGACCACUCCCAUCCACCUUACAUGUGAAUGGUUAAAUAAACUCUUCGUUAAAUGAUACCAUAUAUAGAUCACCAAAGAAUAAAAAAGGAAAAGAAAAAAGAAAAAAUAAAAAAUAACCCAACACAUGAAAGGAGCUUACAUGAGAGUGAUGCGCUCAAGAAGUUUUUAUGCAUGCAGGUGUAGACAUGAGAGUAGGUGAAAGAGUAGUAUCAUAUUAUCAUAUCCAAUAUUUUUAAAAUUUACCCGAAUCUGCUAAUUGGUUGAACCAUCAAUCCAUCAAGUGUUGGACCUUUUAACCCAAUUCUUGGAACUGUUGUACCAAUAGAAGGCUCAACAUAAAUAUGUUAGUUUAAGAACACAAAAAAAAUAAUUUACACAAAGGAACACAAUCUUUUAAUGCGGUUUGAUCAAUUUUACAUAUAUCUUUAAAUGAGAAAGAAUUAUUUUACUAUAACAUAAAGAAUAUCAUAGAGAAUAAAAACUAAUUACAAUUAUUAAGUUUUAAAACUAUCAUAUAUUUAUUCACUCAUUGUAUUUAUACUCCAAAUCAUAAACUCUCUCUCUCCAAUGGGUGUCUUUCAUUUUUUUCUCACAUCUCUAUUCACUUUGUAUAGUAUUUAAGUUUAUCUUCAUCUCAUUAUUAUUUUUGGUCAUGAUCUAGAAUAUUUAUAAAUAUAUUCCUGAUAAGUUUCCUUAUUUAAUAAAGAAGCCUUAAAUUACCAUAAUAUAUCAAGUUAGGAAAUAUUUAAUACACUUUCCAAUAAUCUCUACCUUAAAUCAAAUUCUACUAAUCUUCCAUCUCUCUAUAAUACAUGUUUUCUGUAUCAAUCCCAAUGAGAGAACAAUCAACUUAACCUUUAACAAAAAUUCCUUUUGUCAUCUUCUUACGUGUUUUGUUUUCUUUGGCUCUUCUAAAAAUCUUCAUCCUAAGUGUUGAGACCAAUUUGUUUUAUCAGUGGACACUUCAAUAUAAAAAUGUUAGUUUAAGAACAUAAUGAUAAAAUAAUUCACAUAUAGGAACACGAGGCUUUAAUAUGGUUUGAUCAACCAUGCUUAUAUUCAUAGAUAAAAAAGAAUCAUUUCGCUACACCAUAAAGAAUAUCAUAAAGGAAAAAAAGUAGAUACAACUAUUAAGUUUUUAAAAUAUCCUAUGUUUCCCCACUCCCUUUAUCUACACCUUGAACUACAAGUCCUCUCAUUCUAUUAGAUGUCUCUCAUUCUUCUUCAUAUGUUUAUUCAUCUUGUAUAGUUUUCAUAAGUUUAUCUCCAUCUCAUGACCUUUUUUCUUUAUAUGAUUUAGAUUAUUUACAGAGAUAUUUCUAAUAAUUUUUAUUUUAUUUUAUAAGGAAAUAUAAUUUUAUAAUAAUACACCAAAUAAGAAAAUAUUUUACACAAUAUUCAUGGAGUGUGUUUGAGUGGUUGGAAUUGAACAUGAGUAUUCUUUGAAACCAGAAAAGAAAAAAAGAAAUGGGCUACCACUGCACCCACUCUCCUAUGAUAAUAAUAUUAGUUUAUAUUAUAUAUAUUAAACAUUCUGAAUAAAAAAAUUAAAAAUAAAUAAAUAAUUAACUUGUCCAUGAUUUAUAGCAAAGCAUGGUAAUAUUCGUUUGAUUUCUCCAUAUUUGAUUCAUGCUCCCCACUCCUCACUGUCAUCACGACUUUGACCUCUUCAGUCGUUCCCAACUCUGCUACCUCACAAGCAUUAUUUUUGUUUUGUUGUGGUUGAGAUGAAAACUCUCUUUUCUCUUGAGCCAAGUUGGCUGAGAUUUGUCUCAAAGUAAUGUGAAUAUUGUAGAUGGCUUGAGAUAUUUGAGAAUUAAAUAUCUUCUACUCUGAUCUUUCCCCUCAUUGUUGCAAAAAAUGCUGAAUCAAAGUUUCCAGAUUUGAACUUGAUGAUGCUAAGUUGAUGUUUGAAAUCAUCUGAGGAGCUCCUUAGAGCAUUUCCAAGCUGAUUUCCUUGCUGUAUAUAUAUUGGUUCAUUGGCCCAGUUGAUUGUUUCUCUUGCUGAAAUUGGUUAUUCCUUCUCCAAGACAGGUUUGGAUGUGACUGUUGCCCACAUUAUUUUGAUAUGACAUGCCAUCCUUGUUGCCAUCAAGAUCUCAAUAAUAUGCAUCUUCAAUGAUCAAGCUUAUUUUAUUUUAUUCAUUUUCUAGCACAAUUCUUAGAAUCUAAGCAUUUUCUAUAUAAGAAUUUUUCUCAUUUUCAAGACUGUAUUUUGUUAUUUUUUCUUUUUUUAUUUAAAAAUUGAGCUGCUUAGUAUAAUCUUGACAAAGUCCAUCAAUAUGAUGCAAUCACAAUAUCAAACAAAUUCAGUUGCUUAGGAUAAUCCUGGGAAAGUCCAUCAAUACGAUGAGAUCGCAAUAUCAAACAUCUAAAAUGAAAAGAAAUCUAACACUUCGAGCCAGAGCCUCCCAGUUCAAACUGAUAGCUUGAGAAGAAUAAUUCAAGCCUAUGUUUUCUAUUGGUUGCUUAGCAUUAAAUCCAUUACAAAUUAUGAACGUGGAAACUAACAAUCCCCUAAUCCAAGGAAUUAUUUUAGCAAUGGUUCUUUGUCUUAUUCAAAGGAGAUAAAAUAAAAAAUUUAACACGGAAUAAUAUUCAACCAAACUACCCCUCCACAUGUCCAAGUGGUUGCAAAAUCAAAGGAAUUCCACUACCAAGAUUAUCCAUGUAUUUCAUGAGCUAUAUCACAGUAAUAUUCGUUAGUUAUAUGAGGACUAAAUUUGAAAUCAUGGAAAUAUUAUUUGGCAUUUAGAAUGUCGUACUAUAAUUUGUGUUUAUUACUAUAUCAAAAUAAAAAAAAAUAUUUUUUAAAACAAUUUAUCUAGAAAAGUCUUUAGUUUUUUAAUUUUUAAAAAGUAUUUUUAAAAAUAACUUGCACUAAGAAAUCAAAAUAACUCAUAGUUAGAGAUAAUUGAAAUCAUUUAUAAAUGAGAUUUCAUUUUCAUUAAAAUUAUUUUUUUAUUCUAUUCCCAUCAAGAUUUAAAUUAUCCAAAUAUGGGAAUUAAGUAAAAAAUGAAUGAGAUACUCAUUCCCACAAACAGGCCUUAAAAUUGUGUGAUAACAAUAAAGAUAAAAUUAAUCAAAUAAUUACAUAAAUGGUCAAAUUAGGUGUAUUAAUUCAUAAUAUGGUUGCAAUUAGAAAGUUAUGUUCUAGUUAGGUUAAAUUUCAAAUGAAGUGUGACAAAAGGAUACAAAUGGAUUAAAUUAUUUCCUAAAUUUGAAAACUUUACCCACUAGCAUGAUUAGAUUAGCCUUUUAUGAUACCAUAUUGAAGAUUAUACUAUUAUAAAAGCCUUUGUUAGGCUUAGGUGGUGUUCCUUCUAACUUUUUACUUUUUGUGACUUAUUACUUUUUUAUGAUUUUUUUUUUUAAAUAGAAAAAGCCAAGUCAUUUGAUUUUUUUUGAAUGGUAAAAAGAACAUGUUGGUUUCUUUACUUUUUAAAACUUAAUAAAAUAAAAUAUUAAAAAAAUAAAUAACUUGAUUCUUAACACUAUUUUUAUUUUUUAUUUUUUUUCCUAUGGAACAAAUAUUAUCAUACUCAAUAGAAUGGGCCCAUGGUACCAUAUCGGAUUCAAUCUAUUAUCUAUGAGUUAUCAUAUUCAGUAGAAUGGACCUGUAGUUAUGACACUUGUAUGGCCACAUCCCUUCUAUAUAUAUUUGGUAAUGCUCCAUCAUAUUCACUUGGAUAUAUCAUAAUGUCAUAAGACCAAUUGUCCAUAGUUAUGAUAAAUAUUAUGAUAUAUAUAUAUAUAUUGGAUAGUGGAAAAAGUUUUUGAUACUAUGUAUAUAGUGGACUUUUAUCAAUUAUGUAGAUGUCUUUUAUAGUCGUGAGGGCCAUUAGGCAUAAUGUGGAGUGUACAUGAGAGGGAGCAAGGUCAUCCUAAAUCUGACCUUGGAAUGAGAUUAUGUUUGUCUAACUUUGUAAGUGUUAGGAUUGAGUCUUUAAAAGCAAGACAUGAUAUAACAAAGUUAGAUUUUACUGUCCUUUUGUUGUCCCUUGUAUGCAUUGAUAUUAAUUUCAGUAUUCAAACUCAUAUGAUCACUUGCAUUGUACAUGAUUUAGAUGCAAUAGAAGUUGUACAGAAGAUACAAUUCAUGGGUUUCUUACAAGAUGAUAAGUUGUUCACAAUCAAUUAAUGAAUUUGGGCAAUCCAAUAAAGGUUGUAGUGCACUACCUUCUAAUUAGAGGGAUGACUUAUUUUAAUCAUCAUGAUAAGUUUUCCAUGGUGAGUACAUUAGUAUGUGUGAUUAUACAUUGGAUAGGACUUACGGUGAAUUAUGAUGUAAGGUUAUUAGAUUGUCAUGAUUCACCAAACUUCUAUGUUGCAUGUACUCUCAACCUUGAGAGUAUAUUGAGUCUCUAUUGAAAUCAAUAGGAAGCUUUGACCUAUAGAUGAUACCUUAUUAUGGUCAUAUAUUCCCACGGAUUGAAUCAUUAUUGAUGGAGGCCAAUGACAAGUAUUCUCAAUGGAGACACUAUCAUAUCUCAUGAGAUUAAAACAGUAUGUCCCUUUAUGUGAUCCAAAGGACAUGUGAUCAUGGAAUAUGUGGUCGCAGUAAUUCUUUUAGUAGAAUUUACUCCAUCCACUUAUUUAGGUCUCCCUUUAGGUGCUCUAUGUAAAUCUAUAAUAGUUUAGGAUGGAGUAGAAGAGAGAUUUUAUAAGAGGUUGUCCAUGUAGAAGAGACAAUACAUUUCCAAAUGAGGGAAUAUUAUUUUAAUUUGAAAUACUUUAUCUAUAACUAGCUUGCCCAUUUAUUUUAUGUCUUUGUUCUAUAUCACAAUGGCUAUUAGACUGAGGCUAAAACAAAUUUAGAGGGACUUUUUGUGGGACGUAGGGUGUUAGAUUAUAAACCACAUCUUGUUAAAUGGACAAUUGUUUGCUUAGACAAAAGGAAAGAUGGUUUGGGUGUUAAGAGUCUCUUAAUUCUUAAUAAGACUUUUAUUUGCAAGUGGAGUUGGUGUUUUUCAAAUGAAAAUUGGGCUUUCUAGAAUCAAGUUAUUUGUGGGAAGUAUAGAUAAGAAAAAGGGGGUUUGUCUUCUUAGAAGGUGAGAGAGGGGUGAGGGGUUGUGUUGGGUUGUAGAAAACGGUAAGGAAUUAGGAUUGGGAUCGUAUGAGAACUAGGUAUUCCUUCUUGGUAGGUAAUGGGCGGAGAGUGAAAUUUUAAAAUGAUAAGUGGUAUGAGGGCAAUUUGUUGAGUGUGUCUUUCUCUUCUCUAUUUGCUUUAAGUAAUUCUAAGGAUGUGUGGGUGCAUGGAGGAAGUUUACAAUUACUUAACUGAAAGGAGGAGAGGAGGAAAGGUGAAAUCCUUAUUUUUCUAGACCUUUGCAUGGGAGAUGGAUUGUGUGGAGAGAUUUCUGGCAUGUUAAUUUGCAUGGGAAGAGAGUGUAUAGGGAUGCAGAAAAUACAAUGCUUUGGACAAUGACAAAGAGUGGCAAGUUUAUAGUUAAUUCUCUUUACAAUGCUUUGGAGCUAGACAACUUCGAGUCUUUUCCAAUAAGAGGAAUUUGGCUCUCAUGGGUAUAACCUAGAGUGAGUUCCUAUUUUAUUUUUUAUUUUUUAUUUUUUGUUGAAGGCUACGUAGGUAAAGUUUUAACCUUGGAUCAAGUUCAGAGAUGAGGAUGGUGUUUAGCAAAUAGGUGUUAUUUUUUUCAUUUGUUUGAAGAAUCCAUAGAUCACUUGCUUCUCCAUUGUGAAAAAACAAGGGUUUUAUAGGAGUUGUUUUUUGUAUUUUUUUUUUUGGUAUUUUUGGGUGCUUCAUUUAUUAGUUAAAGAGAUAUCAUUGGGGUGACAUGGUUCUUUUGUGGAAAAAAGUGUGGGAAGGUUUAGAGUGCAAGCCCUUUAUAUUUGUUUUGGAGAUUUAGAAGACAAGGAACAAAAAUGCAUUUGAUGAUGAGGUGUUUUCUUUCAAAAAGCUAAAAAAUGAUUUUUAUUUGGUUUCUUUGGUUAGAGACUAAGUUGUUUAUAUAUGAUUGUCUUUUGACUUUAGUGAGUUACUUUGAUUGGUUGGGCCUUGGUGAGGGUCCAAUUCUUUUGGUUUUUUCUCCUAUUUGAGCCUUGGUGGUGGAAGGAGGUUUGUUUCUUGUAUACCUUAGGACGCUCUUUUGGUGACUCAUUUUAAUUUAAUUUGAUUCUUUAUCUAUCAUUUAAAAAAAAAAAAAAAUCAUAUCAUUCUUGGAGUUAGAAUAUGUCGGUUGAACAUACAAUAGAAAAAUUUACAACUCAAGUAUUAGAGAAGUAAUCUUGAUGGGUUGAUAACAUUACCCUAUUAUUUUAUGGACACCAAUUCAUGGGGUGUCCGUAUGCAAUAGAUUGUAGAUUACAGACUUGAGCUUUGUCUCAUUGCAAUUUCAUAAGAUACUGGCGUGUAGUUAACUCUUUUUAGUAGAGUAUUGAGUUAACUUCAUAAUUGGAAUAUAAAGGAGCCAAUAUUUUCUUAUAGGUCUCAAUGGUUCCCCAUCGAGCUCUUAGUUCAUAGUGGCAUGUUUUGAGGGUAUUUUGGCUAUGCACUUCAUAAGUGUGCAUAAGGGUGUUUUAGUAAGAAUAUAAUAUUGCACUAGAUCUUAUGAAUUGAUUUUCUUAAAUGGGCUAAUUAAUUAAUUGGAACAUGUUAUGGCUAAUUAAUUAAUUAAGACUAAAGCCUAAUUUGGGUUCAAGUCACUUAAACCCACAAAAAAAAAAGCCUAUAUAAACCCCUUAGGGGUUAAGACUUUAUUCUUCUAGUUCGGUUUUCUAAAAUUGCAAUGAGAGGAACCCAAGUCAACCUCAAGAAGAGAGAAAAGCUCACCAUUCUCUCAUGCCAAGCAUCCAUUAUGGGAGAGAUUGGCUGGAAGAUCAUUGGAUAAACUAGUUCUACAACAACCACAACGUUUUCAUCAAAUGGGAUUCUAUCUAGGAACAUUCAGAUCACAAGUUUGAGCUCUUUCUAUGUAAAUCUAGGUUUUUUUUUUUUUUUUGGUUUUUAUACUUAUAGGUUUUUGUUGCUUUUGAUCUAGAGAAGCCAAUGAUAGAUACAUAUAUAUACCCUAUGUGAUCCAGGGUUAAGGAAUAAAGCAAUUUGAGUUUUCUGGUAGUAAGAGGAUGUUUGUCAAUGUUGCUAUGUAGUUAGUUUUUCUUAUUUAUGUAAUUACAUUUUAAAACGAUGAGAAAUUAGGAUAAAUAUGACCAAAUGUAUUUUAUAUGGAAGUGAAUGUUAUAAAUAUGACAAAAUAUAUCCUAUGUUGAUUGGAAAUGAUGUUAUAUCCAAUUAACCAAAUCACGUGUAAUAUAUUUAGCAAUGAUAAAGUAGGUUUGGUGAUGUAAAUAUAAGGCCCCAAUAUUUGGGUUAGGCUCGUUUGGGUUAAGAACCUUUUUGGAUUUUCUUAUUUGGUGGCACAAACUUGACCGUGACAUAUACCAUUAUUCUAACACUAAAGUGGACCACUAAAAUACCCUACAAAGCACUAAUAUUCAACUCACAAGUUAUAGAGUUAUCAUGAUGCAAAAUAAUGCCUAAUAUUUACAAUGCGCUGGUAGUUAAAGGUCGAGAUACUGUCCGUCAACAAAUUAAUGUGACUUGUGAGAUACAACAAUUAUUAGGAAAUAAUACAUUGACUUUUUUUAUUCAAUUGAAAAUUUUAAGAAAUAAAUAAUAAGUUAAUAAAAAAUAAAAAUAAAAAUAAAUGAUCUUAAAUAUAAAAAUAAGUUGCUUUUUUUUAUAAAAAAAAAAAAGUCAAACAAAUAAAGAGACAACACUUGAGUGGUAUAUAAACUCAUUUUUUCAUAGCAUUGGAGGAGUUAUGUAAUAAUUAUUUAGACAUAAAAUUGUUAAAAGGGGAUAUUGCUAGUGAUUUAGAUUAACUACUUUAGUUUGAUAAUCUUAUUCCAAACAAUUCUUCAUCUAAUAUUGUUGCAUAUUUUCUAAGAUUAAUAUAGGUCUUGAAGAUUUAAUUAAGAUCAUCAUCACUUUGUAAACGAGGCCAUCUAGGUAAGUAUGCUUGAGUUAGUUUAGUGAAUGAUAUAAUUAAGAAGUGUAUUUUGGGAAUUAUUACAUAACAUGAGCUUUAUAGGUUUGGAAAAGCAAAUUUGAGGAGUGAUCAAGAGGAUCUUAAGAGCACUCACUAUAAAACAUGUAAGAGUUAAACAUGAAGAUGCAUAUAGAUACUAGCCAAUGUAAAAUCCUCAUGGAAUUGAUAGCUUCUAAUUCAUGUAAAUUUGUGAUUUAUUUUUUCAUAUUAAGUGAAUUUUCUCAACAAUCAAUUGACCAAUGAUAUUUAAUUAAUAUAUAGUUUAUAUAUAUAUGAUCGAUUUUUGUUUUGAAAUUUGAUGUCUCCUAUUGAUCAAAGGAUUAAGAAAAAAAAAAGAAAGAAAAAAAGAAAAAGAAAAAGAAAGAAUCAAUCUCCAUGUGUAAUUUCAAGAAUCAAAAUUAGAACUUCUAAAUGACAAAUAAAACUAAAAACCAAUUUGAUAGUGAUUUUAGGAAGUGUUUCUAACAUUUUUAACACUUAAAAAUUUCUAUCAUUUAAGUAUUAGAAAUGUUAGAAACAUUUUCUAAAAUCAUUACCAAACGUAUUUUAAAUGAGAUUCAACUUAAAUUUGUAUUUCUUGUUGAUGGACGUGCAUGUUAGUAUUUUAUGGUCGGGUGAUGAACUCAUCCCUUAAUUAAAUUUUAAAGAGAACUCUUAUCAUUGGAAGAUAUGGUCUACCAUGAUCUUUGACUUUUCAGGGUUAUAUAUAUUGAAUACUAAAGUAAAAAUUAAUAAAUUGUGGCUAAAGAGACUUAAAUAUGAAUUUCUUGUUGGAUGGACGUGUGAAUGUAAAAAUAACAAGUGUAAUUUCAUUGAUUGGAACAUGUAAUGAAUUAUACAAAUAAUUUAAAUAUUUUUAAUUUUUUUUAAGUCUGGAGAUGAGUCACCCAAAUGAUGACUCUUGAAACAGACCCGUUGGAUGUGAUGUCAAAUGUCAUAAAAUAUUUGAUCUAUCCUUAUUGAUCACCAAUUGAUGAACUCAUCCCUUAAUUAAAUUUUAAAGAGAACUCUUAUCAUUGGAAGAUAUGGUCUACCAUGAUCUUUGACUUUUCAGGGUUAUAUAUAUUGAAUACUAAAGUAAAAAUUAAUAAAUUAUGGCUAAAGAGACUUAAAUAUGAAUUUCUUGUUGGAUGGACGUGUGAAUGUAAAAAUAACAAGUGUAAUUUCAUUGAUUGGAACAUGUAAUGAAUUAUACAAAUAAUUUAAAUAUUUUUAAUUUUUUUUAAGUCUGGAGAUGAGUCACCCAAAUGAUGACUCUUGAAACAGACCCGUUGGAUGUGAUGUCAAAUGUCAUAAAAUAUUUGAUCUAUCCUUAUUGAUCACCAAUUGGUUUUCAAAUGAUAUGGUCAAAACUCAAUCCUAGAGUUGGUAUAUAUAAGAGAUUGUGCAAGAAGCAUCGUAAUUGGGCAAAUUAAAAAUAAUAAUAAUAAUAAGCAAAAGAAUGAAACAAAAGGCUUGGUCCUUCAAGUCAGAAAUUAAUAUUAUUGUGAUAAAAAAACUGAAUGUAAGAAUUAAAAAAUGUGGCGUUGGUGAUUGUGCACAGCCACCCACCACAGCUUUCAGAACUGGUGAGAUGAAAAAUUCAACUAUAUAUGAGAGAUUGCUAUGUCAUGGAUAAAGACUGAUUAUAUAUAAUAUUAAGGGUCAGUAAUCAACUGGCAUGCAAGAAUCAGGCUCUUCAAGAAACUGAGAAAUAGAGGGUUGUAUAUUUUAAACAUUUUCUAAUACUUAGGGUUUGUUUGGUUACCAAAGAAAAUUAAUGAUAUUAAUUUUUGCAAAUUGUGGUCUCAAAAGUAAUGUCAGUACUGGAAAAAAAAAUUAUUUAGGUCUUUUAUAAAUUGGAUUGUUAAAUUCACGUGAACACAUAUGAUGAUCCACAUAGGGAUAUUAGGAAUUUAAAAUAUUUUCUUUAUUUGAAUAUAAAAAUUAAAUUUUAUUCAAAUAAAUCAUUUUAUGCUUAAGAAUAUUUAAAUAAGGCCAUAAAUAUGACUUUCUGAUGAUCCCACGUGAUUGGACUCCAUUUUUCAAUAUAAAUGAUCCUGCUUUUACUCAGAAUUAAGCACUUAAUGUAGGGAGAAAAUGCUUUUACAGUUCAAUAAAAAUUUUGAAAAUGUUGUAGAAGCACUUUUAAAACACAGUUUCUAAGGCAAAUCAACGUAGAAGUAAAAUAACUUUCAUUUCUACUUGGCUUUACUGCUGAUGCAAGAAUCUGAAAGACACCUUAAACAAUGUUAAAUAAAUAUAUUUUUCAUACAAAUUUGUAUGGUAUAUGAUUGAAGAAGUAGAGUAAAGAAGUGUUGUUUGACUGGAAUUCUUAACAGCAAGGUCAGAGCUCUCUACAGGGAGUCAAUGAGGACUUUCCCAACAUUACCUUCUACCUGCUCUCUUCUCUUCUAAUUUCAAUUCUAACCGCUGGAAGAGAUGGGAGUGGUUUGGUGCCGAGGACUCAUCCCCUCACCUCAUCCAAGUUUUUGUUGAGUCCAAACAAAAAUUUAAACACAUGUUCUUUUCCAACAAUUUUCUUAUACUUCUGAGAAUACUUAGUACAACCGAAUUUAUUUUCAUCAAAUAAGUCUAUAUGUUGCCAACGCCUAUUGAGAGCAUUGAUAAAGUAUUGAGUUUUUGAGAGUUCUUCUUGCUUGAGAUCAUUAAGGAUGCCUUUCACCUCAAAUAAUUCCGAAGUGUUCUCUUUAUCCGAAUAAGUUUCCUCAGCAGCGUCCGAGAUUUCCUUGGCCGUCUCAUAAAACAUGAAGUCUUCACCAAUGUUGUUAGUCAUGGAGUUGAUAAGCCAUGACAAAACCAUAUUGUUUUCUGCUUUCCAGAUUUUAUACUUUGGGUCCUCAAAGGGUGGCGCUGUAACAGCUCCGGUGAGAUAAUCAUCUUUGUCUUUUCUGCACACGAACAUCAUCACAGACUUCGACCAUUGGAGAUAAUUUUGGUCAGUGAGUUUAUGUCCAGUUAUGGGAAUAACAACAUUUUCUGAACCGCUAGUAGUGAACCAAACAUUUUCUGGACCGGAAGUGACUUCCAAAGAAGAUGACUCUUGUCUUUCAGUAGUCAUGUACCAUUAGGACUGAUGUAGACCUUUGUUUUGAAACACAAAAAAAAAAGAAAAAAAAAAAAAAAGAGUAGAAUCAAAAUUCUACGAUGCUGGAAAAAUUUAGCAGAAUUUUGAAACCUAAGGAGCCUAAUUUGGCUCUGAUACCAUCAAGAUUUAUAGAGAAAAAAACUUAUUUUAUUUUACUUCAUCAGGGACGGGACGUGAAACAGAAAAAAUAGGAGAGAAUGACUGUAAGACUAUCAGCAAAUCUCCUUGAUACAGGGAAUAAAACUUCAUCCCUAUAAAUCAGGGAUAUACAUGGAAAAAAUGAGAUUUAUAAUAUUUAUUCCUUUAUCUCUUUAUUAACUUGUCAACUGAUCCCUAUAAAAUAGGGAUUUUUAUUCUGAAAUCUUACAUGGUAUGGAAUUCUCAGCACCAAACCACUUUAAGUCUUUUCGAGAGGACAAUUUUGAAGUUAGAAGAGAAGAGAGUAAGCAAAAGGUAAUGUUGGGAAAGUCCUCACGAACUACUGUAGAGAGCUCUGCCCUUGCUGUUCAGAAUUCUAGUCAAACAACAACAAACCGUAAUCACAAAGGAGGAAUGACAGACCUUGGUGCAACCAUUGUCGUAAACUAGGGCAUACAAAGGACCACUACUAGCAGAAUUAUGGCAAACCAACAGACUGGAAAACAGACACUCAACUGGAGAUGGUCAAGGUAUGAUAGCCACAACAUGAGAUACAAAGGAACAACAGAACCAAGAAGUCCACACCUUUCAGCAAAGAACAAGUAGAGAUUAUUCGAAAAUUAAUCUCUCAAACGUCGCUUCUCAAACAAACUCAACAGCAGCAACUUCGGUUGCUCAAAAAGGUAAUUUUUGAAUUGCCUUGAGCUCUCAAAAGGAGAAGAAUAAUCAAUGGAUAAUAGACUCCGGGGUUUCCGACCAUCUAACUGGUAAUACUGAUUUAUUUCACAAUUAUAGCUUGUGUUAUGAGAACUUUAAAGUUUGUAUUACUAAUGAUUCUAUGUCCGAGGUAGCGAGAAUAGGAUCAAUAUGUCUCACUAAAGACUUAAUUCUAAAAUCAGUUUUGUUGGUUCCAAAUCUUACCUGCAAUCUGCUAUAAAUUAGGAAGCUUUCCACAGACUUAAAUUAUUUCACUAACUUUUAUUCUAACACAUUGUGAAUUUUAGGACUUGGAAUAAGGGAGGAUUAUUAGCAAUGCUAAGGAAUGUGCAGGAAUCUAUCUUUUUUAGGUUCUUAAUAGUCCUAAGAAACAAACUCAAAAUUUUUGGAUGUAUGACUUUGUUAAGAUAUAUAAUCAUCAUCGCAGUAAGCUCAAUCUAAAGGCUACCAACUGUCUAUUCCUUAGCUACUCUCCUACAUAAAAAGGGUAGAAGUGUUAUUCACCUAUUACAAGGAAAUUUUAUGUUACUUUGGAUGUCACCUUGUUCGAAAAAACAACCCUUCUACACCAAAAUCCCCAUUUAGGGGGAGGAAAAUAUACAAGAAUGUAAUUUUUGGGUUCAAGAAGAGUUAUCUCCUAAGUUUGAACCAAGUAUUCAUGUCAAUCAACCUCGAGUUGAGCCAUCCAGGCCACUUGAGUCUUCCAAGCCUUUACCUACUCUAUCCACACCCACUCAUACUCAACAUGCAGGAGAAACUAAGUUGCGUAUUUACCUAACAACCUUGAGAGGAUGUAGAGUACCACACUUAACUUGAGUAGAACCAAGAAUCCGAUCUGAAUCCAGAAAGUCCAAGUAAAAUUCAUGAUACUCAAGUUAGUGAUGCUCCUACCGAUCUUGAUAUACCUAUUGCUCUUAAGAAAGUUGUGAGGUUGUGUUCUUGGCACCUAAUCUCUAACUUCAUUUCUUCUGGUAGAUAAUCCCCAUAGUAUUAUGCUUUUGUUACUAAUCUAUCAAAUGUAGAGAUCCCAAAGAGUAUCCAUGAAGCCCUACAACAACCUGAGUGGAGACAAGCAAUUGGUGAUGAAAUCAAGGCUUUAAAGAAGAAUGGAACAUGGGAAUUGUAGGAUUUGCUCAAAGGAAAGCAUCUGGUUGGUUGUAAAUGGAUUUUCACUAUUAAGUUCAAAUCAGAUGGAAGCAUAGAACGAUAUAAAGCUAGACUUGUUGCUAAGGGAUUUGCUCAAAAGUAUAGUAUAUACUAUUAAGAGACAUUUAUUCGUGUAGCCAAACUUAAUACCAUAAGAGUACUAUUGUCACUUGCAAUCAAUCUAGAUUAGCCUUUUCAGCAAUUGGAUGUAAAAAAAAUGUCUUUCUCAAUGGAGACAUGGAAUAUGAAGUCUACAUGAAAAUCUCUUCAAGAUUUAAAAAUAGUGUCAAUACUAGAGAAGUCUACAAGGUUCGAAAGUCUUUAUAUGGACUUAAACAGUCUCUUAGAACAUGGUUUGAUGGGUUCAUAAGGGCUAUGAAGAAUCAUGGGUACACAUAGGGACAUGAUGAUCAUACCUUGUUUAUCAAACAUUCAAAUGAUAGAAAGGUAGCCAUUCUCAUUGUCUAUGUUGAUGAUAAUAUUGUGAUAGGGAUUUAUAUAGAUGAAGUGAGAAGAUUGAAGUGUUGGCUAGGGAGUUUGAAAUUAAGGACCUAGGAACACUAUAAGAACAAAUGGCAAUAAUGACGCUUUUUAGGCGUCAAUAAAUGUAUAAGAUGACGCUUCUUGAAAGCGUCCUUGUCGCCCCUAUCAAGGAAUGGGUGUAGACAACCUUGUCGCUUCUAGAAAGCGUCAUCUAUAAAAGCACUUACAUUGACGCUUAUUCAAGUGUCAUCUUUCCAAAAGCAUGACAUUCUUUAAGUGUCAUUAUUUCCACCAAAUUUUCAAUGUUAACACUUACACUAGCGCCAAGGAAUGUCCAAAAUAUCAUUUGUCUAUUUUGACACUAAAAAAAGUGUCAUCUUAUGUGGAUAAUAAUACUGAAAAUCCCCUUAUUGAAAUGAUAUAUUUUGUAUGUCCUGUUAUAUAUAAUUUUGGCUGCAUGAUUUUUUAUAAAGUACAAAACAAUAACUUCAAUAUUAAUAACUAUAUCUUCCAAAAGAAAUUGAAUAAAUUUGGGAAUAAUAUAAUGAUAAAGAACUAAUGUCUACAUAGUUAAUUAAUACGUAAAUUUGUUAAUGUAUCAAAAUAUUUACAACAAGCAUAUUUUCCAACUUCAACAUAAAUCAAGUACACAUGUACCAAAAAAAAGGUCUCUAAAUUCCUUAUCAAAAAUAAUAUUACAAGAAGAAGAAGAAGCCAAAAGUAUUUUUAGCCAAAGGUAUUCCUGUUGGUUGCAUAUCCAUUCUUGAACUUGAUAUCUUUUACCUAUAUACAUUUAAAAAAAAACAAUAGAAGAAACAAAUUAUGUUUAGUUAAUAUACAUGCAAUGAAAGUUAAAUUUAAAUCUAUAAAUGGUCCAUGAAAGAAGUGCAAAUGAGAAUAACUUGGUAUUUAAUGAGAUGUUAUGCUUCAAUGAAGAUGAAAAAUUGUUUAAUUUGAUACUUGUUUAUAAAAUAUUAAUAGACUUUUUAGUUUAUUAUUAAGUUAGAGGAAACAAGUUAGGCUUUCAAUGGUAUAAAUUCUACAAUAUGGAAUGUAAUAUAAUAUUUUCUUAUCUAUGUCUAACAUAAGAAACUCAUUUCUCAUAAAUAAAUAUAUAAAAAUACCAAUAGGUAUGGUUUAUUAUUAGUUUCAAUCAUAAAUCAUCAUAUCUAGUAAUAUAAGACAUUUAAUAUUAACCAUUUUCAAAUGUCUUAAUUUCUUCUUACAAUUUUCCUAUAUUACCAAAUUUAAUUGACUAAUAACAUUCCAUAAGGAAAAAAAGAGUAUUAAACUAAAAAUCAAUAGAGUAUAAAGAAAAAAAAAAUGAUGACAAAUAGAAUGAAGAAAGAGAAAUCUUUUUCCUAGAAAAUGCCAUGUCAAAUCAAAAUGAGACCAAGGAAGGAAGAUCAUCUCUUUCCACAUCCACUCUACCCCUAUUUCUUUUACAUUUUUAGUUUCUUUGUAUUGAGAAAUUUUGGACUCCUUAUUUUCUCCAACAUUGUUUGGUUUGUAUUUAUGAUGGAAGGACCUCUAUCAUUUUGUGUAAAUAACUUUCCUGUCUAUCAUACUCCUUUUGUUUCUCAUAAAGGAAAAACUUGUUUCUCACCAAGGAAAAGGAAACACAUGUGGUUCAACUAUCUACUAAAAUCAAAUAUUGAUGGUUUUCUUAAUGAAUGGUUUAUUGAAUUUUUUUCAUACUUAACUUAGUAUUUAAUAAGUGGGUACAGGAAAAGGAAUCACAUUCCCUUAGUUUAGAAGUUGGGAAAGCGUAUGGCAGCCUUAGUGGUGACAAUGGUGGUGGUAGAAAGGUGGUUGGAGAUUGAUUGUGUUGUGGGAAUAAGGGUUUGAUGUCAUUCUUGAAGAAAUAUGUACAACAGAAAAUUCAAUGAAAUCUAAAUUAUUACAUAUGGUAGCCUCCAUAACAAAGAGCUAAACUAUCAUAAGAAAAUGACCAUAAAUUUUAAUGAACUAAAGCCUAUACACAAUGGGUGGAACCAAUGAUCCAUAAAUAUGUGUUGAUAGUGGAUAUCUUUCCCUUGAACUAUAAGGAAACAAAGAGCUAAACUAUCACAAGAAAACCAUUAUGCCAAGGGAACAAAAAAGAAUGUGAAAUAUAAAUUAACAUAUAGAAACUCGAUUCCAAAUAUAUAUAUAUAUAUAUUAUCAUGCAUCAUCUGAUAGGUUGAAAAAUUGAGACCUUGUGUUGAAUUUAGAAUAUAACUACCUUGCCCAGAUGAGUAAUGAAUUCACAAUCAUCAACUAGUUGCUUCUUCAGUAUUGGCGAAAUUUGGAUGUUCAUGAGCUUCUCCACUGGUAUGGCUCCUUUCUCCAAACAAUAAAGAAAACACAAACUUAGUUAAGGAAACCUCAAACUGCUUAUGGAAAACCUGGCCAAAUAAAUUCUAAUAAAGAGAAACUCAUCAACUAAGAAGCACUUUCAAGUCUUAUACAUGACAAGUUAGCAUAAAUGUACUUGGUUCCACGCUGAGGGAUUGAACAGAAAGUUAAGCUACAAUGUGAAAUAAGGUCAAUGGAAACAACAAAGAGAUAUUUCUUGUAAGAUCAUUUUUCUCUAAAUGAAUUGAAAAGGCAAACUAUCUCAAGCCUGCUAAGGAUACUAUACCAGGUGGAAAAAAAUAUCAUGAAUUAGGACAAUGGAACCGAAUAGAAUUAAAAAUCCCAGAUGGUAAAACAUCCACCAAAAGUAUCAUCCAUGUAGGAAAUGUUACUUUGCAUCUUAAGAGAACUACAUCUUUUUGCAUUUUCUUUAAAAGAUGAUCUCUCUCAUCUUGGAAGAUCUUCCAGUUAGAAGCUAACAAAUGCUAAUACGUCUUAGGACUUUAGCCAAUUGCAUAUCUUUUAAAUCUAGGGCUAGGCUAAAAGUGUCCAUAGGUGGACCAAAUUAAAUCCAUUAAUAGAAAACCUCCUACACAUGCUAAGAUAAGCAAUCACCUAUCAACAAGAAGGAAGAAAAUAAAGGCAUAAAUUUCAAGACAUCAAAAUAUUGUAUAAUGUAAUUUUACAUGCUACAACAUACCAUAAAAUCCUGCAAACUUUUUGCCACUAGAACUAGGAUAAUGAUCACCAACAGUACACACCCAUAUAUACAAAUACAAAAACUCAAUCGUUCUAUAUUUGCUCUAGGCAAUGACAAUCCAAGAAUGUACCUUAGCAACAGAGUCAUUCUUCCACUUCUUACUUCUUGCAGCUGCACACGUUUUCCAGAAUUAAUAGAUAAGAAGACCAAUACAAAGCAAAACACCUAGAUGAUUGCAAUCAACAACAAAAAUUAUUUUCAAAUAUAAAUAAGAUCAGACACAAUGGAAGUGGUUCACCAUGCCAAUAUGAAAAAAGGAUGACAAUGACUCUUUAAUAGAUAAAGUUGAGCAUAUUUAUUUUAAAAUUAUGGAGAAAACAUGAUUUAAUAAAUAGGAAGAUCAUCUCUACUUGAAUAAUGACUGAAGACAUAAUUAUAAAUCUACCAAAUCUUAAUUGAUCAAUUACCACCCCCAAAACAACACUAAUAAUGGUGACAAAUGAGCAUCAUGUCAAAUUCAAAUCUAUUAAGGCAAUUUUUAAAGCAUGAGCUAACAACUUAUUUGAAUUUUGGUCUCCACAUUUUAGUUAGGGGGUCCCAACAAGAUGAAUAAAGAAUGAUGAAAAAAAAAAUUGCAAACAUUCAUAGAUAAAAAUAAUCCAUAUAGUCAAUUCUAUUUUGCAAUAUCAAUCUCUAAUUCUCCUUUUUGCUAGUAACACCUUAAAAAACAAGCCCAUUAAGCUUUCUAGAAGAUAUGAUUCUUUUCCCAUACCAUGAAUUUUUUCUAUAACAAGCCAAAUUUGUUGAAGGAUGAAAAAAAAAGUACAACCUCCAAACUGAAAAGGAAAAUGAUAAAAAAAAUAAAUAGACUAAAAUAUAAAAGCCUGAGGGGUCAGAGAAGAGGUCAAGUAACAUUUCAAGGUGAAAUCAACCAUUUUGGUUAGAAUAUUUGCUUCUAAUUCAAACCCCAAGCUUUGAUUCCCUGAGCAAUAAUAGAUGAGUGAAUACAUAUUUCUUAGAAGCUUUAACCAUAACAGUUAGUCAGGAUAGAAUAGCAAAGACUAUGUGACCAUAUUUAUUUCUAGUUAUACUUCCGCUGCAAAAUUGUCAUGUGUUCCCAGUGGUUCAACAAUCAAAGAAAGCAUCAAAUUCCCGAUAUGGGCAAACAUCAAAAUCUUAGGGACAGUGGGAUUAAGAGUUUAAGGUAGUGAAUGGUUUUUUUUUUUUUUUUAACCACUAUAACUUUAGAAACAGUAUGGCUCUAUACAGGAGCAGAUGGUGGACUAGUGGUGUAAGUAUAUCUAGGUUAAUCUUUGUUAAGUUUGGAUUUCAGAUCAUUUGCAGCGUGUGAUGGUUCUAAUUUUAUCUUUUUCAUUUUGUAUAAGAGAUAAGAAAUCCCAACUAGGUGUGUGUACUUAACUCUUAUGCCAUUUAUUUAUCUUCAUGAUGUAUACUUAGUUAUUAUGCCAUUUAUUUAUUUAUAUUUUGAUUGGCAUAUCCCUUUUCCAUUUAUAGGAAUCUUUAAGAUAACCUCUUACUUAGGAGAAACUUUUUGUAUUUGAUUGAUUUAUACAUUGAUUUCUUCUUGCAACUUGUUAGACUGCCUCGAGUUCCAAUUGUUGACAAAAUAUUGAAGAAGUAUCUUGAUUAUAGAAUAAAGAGGGAUGGCAUGUAAGUAUAUUUGCCAUGGCUCCUGCCAUUUUGAACUCUCUUCCAACUUCUAAAGGUGAUCAAACAAAGUUGCAAUGAUACUGCCCGAGGUUUGAUGGCAGUUAUUUUUAUUGAUGUAGUAAUAUCAAGAUAAUUUGUGCCGGAAUGUUUACUAUAGUAGGAGGUAGUUCUUGUAAUUUUCACACUAAUAUGGUUUGAAUAGACAAGCAUGCUUACCUAUUCAAUGAUCAGUCUCAACUAUGUACUUAUUGCAUAAAUGAUUGUUAUGGCAAUACAAGCAGUCUCUCUAUAUAGAUGAGUAGUUCACAUGUGAAAUUUUUGAAAGCCAGUAUCUUAAGAUAUGUAGUUAUCAAAGACAAGUUCAAGAAUAUUGUAACUUUUGAAUCCAAAAAAAAAAAAAAAAACUCACACACAAUCUUGACAAGAACAAAAAUAGUCAAUGAGAUGGGAAACCAGACAUCUAUUCAAAACUAGUAAUAGACUUACAUUCUCAAGUCCCAAUGAGCCACAUAUAUAAGCAACACCCCAUACAAAUAAAACAAUUGCUUUCUCUUCCACCAAAAGUGCACUGUGUGCCUGACAUAACCAACAACAACAAAGUCAAAUAAGCUGUAAUGUGGAAUACAUAAAAUAAAAUAUCACAGUUAAAAUUGCAAAAAAUAAAGUUAACUAAAAUCAACAUAUAAAUAAUAAAAUAAAAAAUAAAUAAAGGAUGUUAAUUUACUUAAUCCUUAAAAACUAUGAUAAUCAGAUGAGUAACAGAGCAGAGGCAGUGUUUGUGACAAAAAAAAAAAAAAAAAACUGCUAAAUCACAUCCCUUGUAUGUUGUUAUGAUGUGUUUGAAUUUUGGGUCCUCAUCAUCUUGUUCCUUCUCAAUCAUGUACUUUUGUUUCUUCUUUGUAAACUCGGACUAGUUGGAUAUAUACUAGGAUCUCCUCACAUUUUUUACAACAUUCAAGUGAAUUCUAGUUAAUUUUAUGUGAUAAUUAAACUCAUUUAUGUUUUUUUUUUUAGAUUUAUUUUUUUAUUUUUCUUUUGUUUGUAUGAAACACUUGGAAAUGUUUGAAAAAAAAAAUUCUAAAGUUUGUGGGCCUACUUUUCAAAAGUAGUUAAAUAGAUAUGACAUAUCAAAAUAUCUGGAAAAAAUUAAAAAAACUCAUCAUUUUAUUUGACAAAAUAUAAGUAAUGAAGAAAAUUAGAAUGAGAAAUGAUUCAAACCAUGAAUGAAUUUUUGAAGGAAAAAGCGUUCAAUAAACACAAUGAUAUACUUUAGGUAUUUAUAUAUAUAUAUAUAUAUAUAUAUAUAUAUAUAUAUAUAUAUAUAUAUAUAUUAAUCAAAAUUUAUUGAGAAACUUUUGUGGUCUUGAUUAACACUUGUGAAAAACCAAAAAAAAAAAAAAAAAAAUUCAUCUCUGUAAAGAAAGGAUUCACUCACAAAAAGACCAUUUUUCCAUGGACCUAAACAAAAUCACAACAAAAUUAGUUUAAUGAUUUGAUGUAUAUAAUAAUAACAACAAGAUCACUUUCAUUUCACACAUGCUAGUAACUUGAAAAUUAAUCAAUUCACUUAAGACCCAUGUGUAGGAAAUCAAAAUAAUAUAAAUUAUACCUAGAUAGAGCACUAAAAAAAAUUGAUUUUUUUUAAUAUUUGUAUUUUUUUUCAUUGGUUUCUCAUUUGUGCUUGCUUUUCUAAUUUUUAUUUUUUACAUUCUGUGGUGGAUAUAGGGAAAUACGCAAAACUGACAAAUUACCUAGAUAAUGAUGGCUGUAUAAAUGUUGUUUAAUUUUCUUGUGUAAGAGGAUUAUCCAGAACAAUAAGAAUAUGGGUGGUGGGUAGUGGGAUGUGGGAGGACAACUAAUCUCUUUGCGUUUAUGUGAAAACAAUAUGUUAGAAGCACAUGCAACCUUAGUUUGUUCUAGUCCAAAACACCCUUGUUCAUUCGUUUUUCCUCUUUUGUUUUUAUUUUUGUUUGCCUCUUCCCCGUGUAGUUGUUUAAUCUGCUAAAAACAUUGAGUUUUAACACACAUAGUCAAUAAGAAACACAAUCAUCCCAAAAAUCAUAAGAACACAAAAAAACCCUAAAAUAAAAUAUGAAAACAGGACACAUUGAGAGAAGAGGACUUACCACUCAUAGAUAUGGGAAUGCGACGGUAUACAUCAAUGACACUGGUUCAUAGUGGAAAUUUUCUAGUGGUGACCACUUGUGAAAUUAUUGAAGUCAGAUAAGGCUACUCCAAAGGGUUAGGGCAUUUCAGUGGUGGGAUUUGUAAAUGAGGAAUGGGUUAUGGCUUCUUAGUGCUGGAUUUCACCCUUGCAUAAAGGGUUUCAUAGUACGAAAAGGGUUUCUCCCAACUUGUGACAUCGACAAUUGACAUGUAAGGACCAGAUUCUCUAGAACGAUAUGCUAUGAGUCUUUGGAAGCUUGUCAUUCAAUCAGCAUUGUUCCUUUAGGUAUGAGAUUCAAGCUUCAUUUUUCGGGUUUUUCGAGAUAUGAAAAAUAGAGGGAAUGUUUGGUGGUAACAUAUUGCAGAGAGAAAAAAUUCCAAAGAUAGCCAUAUAUUUAUAGGUAAAAUUCAGUGGCACUUAUAGAAGUGCCGAGGAAAAAUAAUACUAGUUAACAAAACGAUGAUACUUCCAAUAAGCGUCAUUGCAUACAAGGUAAAAGAGAAAAUAGUAUAUCAAACAAUGAUGCUUCCAAUAAGUGUCAUUGUGUACCAUGCUAAAGGGAUAAUAGUAUGUCAAACAAUGACACUUUUAAUAAGCGCCAUAAAAUAAAGCAUAUUAUAUCAAAUAAUGACGUUUUUUAAAAGUAUCAAGAAAUGAAGCGUCAUUAUUUUAAAAUUUUGUAGUAGUGGAACUUUUAAAUAUGUCCUAGGUAUGGAGGUAGCCGGCUUAAAAAAGGAUAUUGUUGUCUCUCAACGAAAGUAUGUACAUACUAAACUUACUAAAGGAAAUAGAGAUGGUAGGGUGCAAGCCUUCAAAUACACCCAUGGAAUCAACCUAUAAAGUCGAACUAAUGAUAAAUAGUCCACUUGUUAACAAAGGGAGAUAUCAAUGCCUUGUGGAUAAACUUAUUUACCUGUCACAUACAUGACUUGACAUGCAUAAGUUUUUCAAUGAGUGUUGGAAGUCAAUACAUGAAUAAUCCGAACGAAAAGCAUUUUGCAAUUGUAUACAAAUUCACUACAAGAAAAAUGGGAAACAAUGAUGCUUUAUUUUAUGACAUUUUCUAAAAGCGUCAUUAUUGAAGGGUAUAUAAUGACGCUUAUAAGAAGUGUCAUAGUUGUAUUAUUUACCUUGACACUUAUUAUAAGUGUCAUUAUUUGAUGUGGUAUUUUUCCUUAUAAUUGUGUAUAUAAUGACGCUUAGAAGAAGUGUCAUAGUUUUAUUAUUUACCUUGACACUUAUUAUAAGCAUCAUUAUUUGAUGGGUAUGUAAUCACGCUUCUAAGAAGUAUCAUAGUUGUAUUGACUUUUAAAAUUUUUGUUUUUAAGUUAACUUAUAAAAAUUUUGAUAUUAGAAUUUUAUUCUAUAAAUUAAUUAUGGUAAAUUGACACUAAUAUUAAUGACAUAAAGUUGCUACAUUAAGGUUUUUUUAAAAAAAAUUGGAUAUAAAUAAAAUAAAUCCUAAUAAAUUAUUUUUUUUAUUAUUUGAUAUUAAUUUUUUUUUAGUUUGUAUCAAUACAAUCUAUUUUCAUAAACUAUUUUUCAUUUUUAUUAAAUUAGAAAUUAUCUUAUAUUUCAUUUAAAAAUAAUUUGUUAAUUUAUGUGUGGACCACAAAAAAGUAGCCUAUUUUGAGCACUUGUUCGGGCCUUGGGCCACAUUUAUUGGUUUUAACCCAUUAUUUGAGAAGGUUUUAUAGUUAAUGAAUAUAAAUUUGAAAUUAUUUAACUAAAAUGAAAUAAAUUAAUAUUUAAAUUAAUUUAAUGAUGAUUAGACUCACAAUAAAACUAAAUGCAAUAAGAAUAUUUAUAAAAAAUUUCUAAUAUUUAUGGGAAAUAAGCUCAUUCUAUUAAAUUAGUUUUUUUUUUUUAAAUAUCAAUAUUCAAAUUAAACCAACAUCAACCUAAAAUAUCAAAUAAUUAAACUAUAUAAAUUCAUUAUGAGUUCAAUAUAUAAAAAUUAUUAUUGGAAGAUGAAAUAAAGAAUACUAUUUUUAAUUUAUUGAAAAAGGACAUGCGUGGUAUUUUGGAAUUUGUUAUAAAGUCCUAUAAAAAGAUAAAAGGAAGGGAUGGAAAGGCAUAUUUCAUACUUCAACAAGCCUUUACCAUUUUCUUUACUGAAAACCCUAAAUUUUCACUCUCCAUUGAAAACCCUAACUUUUGGAAGACAAGAAAGAAGGGAGAGAGCGACCGUUUUUAGAGAGAAAGAAGAGAAGAGAGAAAAAUGCAGGUUUUUCUCAUCAUGCCCAGAUUUUAUCAAAGGUUCGAUCCCGCUUCGUCCGUAGUCCGAUCGAGUUGAAAUUUGGAGGAGAGUUUCAUGACUCAUUUAUCUUCAAUCUGAACGGUGAAGAUCGGAUUUGGAGUUUCGUAAAGUCAUUAGAAAGAAAGAGGAGAAGAGAGAAAGACCUGCGUUUUUUUCAUCAUGCCCAGAUUUCAUCAAAUAUCCGAUCCCACUUCGUCCGUGGUCCGAUCGAGUUGAAAUUUGGAGGAGAGGUUCAUGGCUCACGUAUCUUCAAUAUGAAUGGUGUAGAUCGGAUUUGGAGUUUCUAACAGUCAUUAGAGAGAAAGAGGAGAAGAGAGAAAAACGCAGGUUUUUUCCAUCAUGCCCAGAUUUUAUCAAAGGUCCGAUGUCGCUUUGUCCAUGGUCUGAUCAAGCUGAAAUUUGGAGGAGAGGUUCACAACUCAUUAAUCUUCAAUUUGAACGGUGAAGAUUGGAUUUAGAGUUUUGAAAAGUCAUUUUUCAGCCAAAAAUAAAACCUUUGUUUUGGCAGGCUUUUCUCUCUGGAUUGGUUUGAUCAUUAGCUUUGAUCGAGGUCAAUUCGUGGUCCAAUUGAGUUGCAAUUUUAGGAGCACGUUCAUGACACAUUGAUCUUCAUUCUAACAAUGGAGAUUGGAUUUGGAAUUUGGAAAAAUGGUAUUUCAGUCCGAGAACAAUGGUUAUGUUUGGUGAGAUCUCUCCAUUAUUCUAGAUUUAAUUUUGAUUUAUCUAGUGUUUAUCUUGUAGCGAUUUACUAUUUUUGAUAUAAAUCAAAUUUGUCUACUUUUCAUGUCACCUGCUUUGCUAACUAACAAAUUAGAGCAGUUUAGAUCUUAAUUGGUUCAAAUUAUAGAUAUUCUCAAUCAGUUGACAAAUUGUAGAUAUAUUGCAUCCACCAAGUGUUCGAUGCUUAGUCCAUGAGAAGCCAAGUGCUUAAAUCAAUUGUUUAGCUUAUUAUUUUUAUUAUUAGUUUUAUUAUUUCUCCCCUUAAAGGCUUUCUUAAAGAGCUUGAGAAGUUCAUGGGAGGUAAUAAAGCCACUGAACUUUUGAGUUAGUUUGAAGUGCUUGAUUCAAAUCCAUCACCAUGAUGACUUAGAUCCUUAUUCUAUUCUUGUUAAAAAGAAAAACUUCCUUUUGACACUUUUUUAAUCAUAUAUUCUCAUGAUAAGUAAAAAUAGUAAUUCCAUUAAUAUUUUAUAUUUUAAUAUUUUGCAUAACCUACCAUGCAUGAAUUACCUCAUGUUUUAUUGAUUUCACAAGUUGGUUUGAGUUUUUGUGGUUUGAUUUCAUUUGAUUCAAGUUGUACCUUGUUAUUUUGGAGCUGGUUUUGGGAGUGAAAAAUGGUGAUUCGUUGAAGAGAAGAGAGACUGGGAUUUUUCUUUUAGGGGAGUAGAAGUGUGAAGAAAGGGUGGGAAUUUUCUAAGUAAGAGGAAACAAGAGAACAAGGGUUGUUCAAUUAAAGAUUUUUGAUAGAGGGAGGGAAGAAAAUUGAGGGAAUGAGCUGUGAGAGAAGGAAAGUUGUUUUGGGUGCUAGGCAAAAGGCAAGAAGUGAGGGUUGUUCGGUUAGAUAUCUUUGAUAAAAGGAGUGAAGAAAAUGAGAGAAGGAGUUGUGAGAGAAAGAAAGAUAGAGAGGAAGACAUAUGAAGACUGUUAAUUUGUUAAUGGAAAGAUUGAGGGAAAUGUUGAAAGAGGAAAAAAAGAAGGAAAGAAAAUAUAAGAUUGUUUGGUUGUUCAUGGAAAGCUUGAGGGAAAUGGGAGAAAGAGGAAAAAGAGAAGGAAAAAAAAUGUAAGAUUGCUUGGUUGUCCACAGGAAAAUUAUUAAAUUUAAGAUGCAUGCAUAUUUCCUACCUCUAUUCAAUGAAAAUUGAGAGGAAAAUCUUUAGACAUUUUUUCUACUUUUUUCCUUAAUAUUUUUUUCUUACAUUUUCCCAUAAUAUAUAAAAUUUCCCUUUGAAACUUUAUUUACGUUUUGUUCUUUGGAUUAUAUAUUUGAUAUUUUGUUUUUUAGGUAGAAGAAUGAUGAAUAAAAUAUAUUUUAUUGGAGAAAAUCAACUAAUAAUGCUCUUUACAGUUCAGUUCUUGGUAAAUAACUCAAAACCCCAUUUAGAAAUGUAUUUUUCUAUUGCUCUUGAAUCACCUAAAUUAAAAUAAAAUAAAAUAAAAAAAGAACUAGUGUUUCUUCUAUUGUUUAAUUUUCUCAAAAUUUUCUACUUUUCAUUUUAUAUUGGUUCUUGUGUUUUUUUUUUUCCUUUAAGAUUUUUGUGAGAGUUUUAGUUUGAAUUGCACUUUUUGGUUUUUGCAUUUAUAAUUGAGAGAUUUUUUAUUCUCCUUGUAUUUGUUUAUAGGUUUCAAAGGAAAUUGGUUGGCCAAAAGACAAGAAAUCAUAAUGUUGAAGGAGGUAGUAAUGCCGAAAACUAUGAAGAUUACAUCAAAGUCAUUUGGAGGAUGAUCUUAUUUUUUAUAGAAUAUAGAUCUUAAUAGUUGUUGCACUAAUAUUUAUUCUUUUGUAGAAUUAGAAAUAGUUAUUGAAAUAUUGUGAUAUAAUUAACAAAUUUGUAUGUAAUUAUUGUAUGUAAGUAUGAAGUUACAUUAAUGGUUUGAAUUGUAUAUCAAUAUUUGAAAAUAUUUUUAUUAGUAAAAUUUAGUUUAAUUUUGGGGCUUUUUUAAUUUUUAUUUAAUUAUAUAGGAAAUCAUUAUUUUAAUAAUAGGAUAUAAAAUAAUGUGUCAUUGAUAAAAUCUAUUAAAGAUGAUAUUUCUAUAAAUGUCAAGAUUGCUUAUUUCAUAAAAAUGAUAUCACUAGAAAAUGUUUAAAGUUGACGCUUCUUACGAGUGUCAUUGUCAACAUUAUCCAAAGAUAAUGCUUCUUUAAACGUCAUUGAAAGUAUUUAUCAAAGAUGGCGAUUUCUAAAAGCGUCAUUGUUGCCUAAGACAUACAAUGACAGAGCCGAAGAGGACGCUUUAGAGAAGCGUUAUCUUUUACCUUUCUUGACGCUUAAAAAACGUCAUUGUUUCCCAUUUUUCUUGUAGUGAAAUUCUUUAAUAUUUAAAGAUGACACUAGGAUAAGGUUUAUUUUUUCUAGAACGGAUUCAAUAGGGAGAUUGAAGUUUAUUAUAAUGCAAACUAGGUAGGAUAUGUGAAUGACCGAAGAUCUACAAUUGGCUAUUGUACCUACGUUUAGGGAAAUUUAGUAACUUGGAGUAGUAAAAAAUAGUUAGUAGUAGCAAGAAGCAGUGUUAAGAUAGAGUUCAAAGCCCUAACUCAAGGCAUCUAUGAAGGAAUGUGGUUAAAAAGGUUUCUUGGAGAAUUACGAAUUGAAACUGAAAGUUUAAUGUAUAUUUUCAAUGAUAAUUAAGUAAUAAUUGGUAUUGAAAAAAGAAUUUAGUUCAUGAUAGAAUUGAACAUGUGGAACUUGAUCUUCACUUCAUCAAAGAAAAGGUCAAAAAAGGGAUACUCGAGUUGACUAACACUUGAACAAGCCUCCAAGUUGAUUAUAUCUUCACAAAGGCUUUUUUUCACGUGUCAAAUUCGAAGAUUUGAGUUGAGAUUUGAGUUGAGAAUGAUUAAUAUCUAGUCCCCAACUCGGGAGUGCAUGAUUUCAAAAUCAAAAUUCUCUAGGAUUUUAGAAUAAAAAUCCCUAUUUUAUAGGAAUUAAUUCACUAAUUAAUAAAGAGAUAAAAUUCCUUUUUCUUUUUUUCUUUUUUAUUUAUGUACAUCUCUUAUUCAUGGGGAUGGAGUUUUAUUCUGAGAUUUGAUGGUAGUGUUGUACCCAUUCUCUUCUAUUUAUUAUUAUGUUUCACGUGCCUGAUCUGAUAUAUAUAUAAAAUCUAGCUUUGUCAUGAGGGUGGCCAUAUUCAUAUAUCACAAUAUUUUUUAUGAAGCUAAAAAAAUGUUGGAAUCUCAUUGACUGCCUUGGUAAUAAUGACAAAGGACAGGGGUAAGAUACUCAGACGCAUUAAUUUCAUUGAGGCGCCCUUCCCCUGAGUGCUUUGUAUUAGGAUAAUCAUUUCAUAACCACUUGCAUUGCACCAAAGUCUCUUACUCAGGCAGCCAAACAUUUUUUUUUUCCAAAAUGCAGCCCGAACACUUUUUAUUCCAGACUCUCCUUUCUAGGCGGUCGUUUUUUAUACAGUGAGGAGUCAUAUGAUUUGGCAUCACAAGUAAUUUUUAGGGUUUUUAAAAUAUAUUAAAUACUUUUUUAAAAAAAAAAAAAAAAAAAACUUUUUUCUACCUUUGUGUUUAGUGUUUUCUUAGAGAUAUUUUUAACUUUCUUCUAAAGUGUUUUCCAAGUUUAAUCAAAUACUUCAGGGUUUGUUUUUUUUUUUUUUUUUGAGAAACAUUUUUUUAAAACUUAGAAAUAGUGUCUACUAAAUUAACUGUCAAUUAGACUCUUGCUCUUAAUUAAGUUUGGGACAAUGAUCUUGAUUUAGUCAUACGUAUCCUCACUUGAUAUUAAGAGUAGAUUGUCCUUCAAUGAAACGGGACCAACCUUUUGGGCUUUCUAAAUAAAGGUGAGUAUUAAAUGGUUGUUGAAAGACAGACAUUUGCUUAUCUCAAAAAUCAGGAAGGAAUACCCUGAUAGAAUGAUGCUCACAUUCACUGUGUUCUCAUCUCCAAAGGUCUCUGACACAGUCGUGGAGCCAUAUAAUGCCACCCUCUCGAUGCCACUAGUUGGUAGAGAAUGCUGACGAAUGAAUGGUUAUGGACAAUGAAGCUCUGUAUGAUAUUUGUUUCAGGACUCUCAAGCUAACCACUCCUAGUUUUGGUGAUCCGAACCAUUUGAUUUCUGCAACCAUGAGUAGGGUUACUUGCUGCCUCGGGUUCCCAGGUCAGCUCAAUUCCGACCUCCGGAAACCUGCGGUGAACCCCAUUCCUUUCCCCCCUCUACACUUCUUCAUGGUUGGGCUUGCUCGUCUCGUCUCUCGUGGGUCUCAACAGUACCAUGCACUAACAGUCCCCGCGCUCAGCCAGCAGAUGUGGGAUGCCAAGAACAUGAUGUGUGCUGCAGACCCACGACAUGGCCGCUACCUCACUGCCUCAGCUAUGUUUAAGGGCAAGAUGAGCACCAAAGAAGUGGAGGAACAAAUGAUUAAUGCCCAAAACAAGAACUCUCCUUACUUUGUGGAAUGGAUUCCAAACAAUGAAAAUCAAACAGUCUCUGGAAAUGAAGGAACCGGUACGGCGGGCACGGCUGGACCAAGAAAGGGCAGUUUUGAAAGAAAAAAAAAAGAUUUAUGGUGUUCCUGGAACUAAUAACAAGCCCAAUAGUUAUAAAGAGGCGUCAAUGUUUGAAAUUCGGAAUAUACUGAUGGAAAAGGCACGGAAAGAAAUUCGCAAUAAACUUUCAGAAUGGAGCUCAGCAGCUCCAGCCCAGGCUGGGAAGAAAGAAAAAGAGAAAGUGAAACCAAAAGAGAAAAAAAAAACAAAAAGGUUCAAUGAAUGGUGAUGGUCCUGAUCCAAGUAAAAAUUCCAAGAAAAAAACCAAACUAAGAAGCUUUCUCCUGGCAUUUCAGUUGAUGGUACAGAUAGCGAGGCCCAUACACCUAUGGCAAUCAGUGUUCCAGAUUCUGAUUUUCAUGAUUUUGAUUUGAACCAAACUAAAAGUUCUUUUGGAGAUAAUCAGGUCUGGUCGGCAUACGAAGAUGAUGAUGGGAUGCCUCGGUUCUAGGCACUGAUUCAAAAAGUGAUCUCUUCGAAUCCGUUUAAGAUGAAGAUCAGUUGGCUUAAACCCUAAAAGCAACAGCGAAUUUGGUCCAGGAGAUUGAAUAGGCUGGUUGAAUGGAUAAUGGGGUGGGUUCACUAUGGAGCCUCCUUGAGAAAUAUCCAACACAAGGAAACAGCAAAUUAGGACCUUUUUGUCUUAUUCAAAAGGGUCAGACGGCUGGAACACAGGUGCUAUUGAGUUAAAUGUUGCCAUUGGGCAAGGAAUCGAGACCACCAGCAUCCACAGAGCAAACAACAAUUGCACCGUGGCCCCACGUGCGCAUGGCCAUGCAUGGCGACCUUUGGCGUCCAAUCCCAGCGACCACAUGUCAUCCUCUUAUUUCUUCUUUCUUUUGAUGUCAAAAUUUAAUUUCCCAAUUUUCAAUUUUUAAAUUUAUUUUUCAAAACUUCAAUUUUCAAAACUCUAAUUUUAAAAUUUUUUUUUUCUGAAAAAAAACACUUCAAAUUUCAAAUUUAAUUUUCAAAAACUUCAUUUUUUAAAUAAUUUUUAAAACUCUAGUUUUCAAAUUUAAUUUUCAAAACUCUCAUUUUCAAAUAAUUUUUCAAAAUUCCAAUUUUUAAAUUUAAUUUUCAAGAUUUCAAUUUUCAAAUAAUUUUCAAAACUCUAGUUUUUUUUCAAAUAAUUUUAAUUCUACUCCAUUUUUAAAAUAUUUUUAAUUCUACAACUUUUCAUCAUUCAUUAAGAAUUUAGGUCACCAAAAAUAUCGAAUUUAAUAAAUUUGCUAUCAUUCUUCUUCUAGCAUGCACUUUUACAAAUUUUCUUUGAUUUUUAUUUUUUUUUCUUUUCGUUUUUUUCUCUUUUUUAUAUAUAAAAAUGAAUAAAUUUUCAUAAUUCCAAAAUUAAUGGAAUUUAUGGGAAUUAAUUCAUAAUAAAAUAAAUUGGUAAAUUGGGCUUUGGUGGGGCCUACAUAUGAGUUUUCUCUUCUAAUUGUCAACUAUUAUACUUAAUGAAUAUUUUUUGAUCUUUGUUCUACUCUUUGACAUGCAUGUGCUAAUUUUAUCAUUAUGAACUAACCUUGUUUCCAUGAUAGCAUGUUCUUAUUUGCUAUUAAGGUAUGCUUUCACUCAUACUUCAUUUAUUUAUUCAUUCUUAUACUCGAUUUGUUUUAUUAUUUUAUCAUUUCAUUGGUAUCCAUUGAUUUCCUUAGCAAUUGUCACACUUGCAUCACCUUAUUUAAUAGAGACCCGUUUUUAGAGACUUAGAAGGGUGCUACAACUCACCAUCAUACAUUUCCAAUAAAUAACCUAACCCCCGGACCUAGACUUGAUUUUUCACAAAUCUAUUUUUUCUUUCUUUAAGAGUCACACUUAAAGUUUUCUUUCUAAUUUUGUUUUUCCUUAAAAAAAAAAUAAAACAAAAAUAAGUGGCGAGUCCAAGUAUUUUUUAAAAAAUAAAAUUUUUCACAAAUAAAAAAUGAGUUCGUCAUCGAGUGGGAAUGCAUCGUGCAAAAAUGUAGGGUCCACAUCUUUAAUUUUAUUUUUAUUUUAUAAUAGAAUCCAAAGUUUUGUAAUACUUAAAUGGCAGAAAGAGAGCAAUCAAGUUUCAUGUGCUAGUAUUUUUUAUUUUUUUUUAGUAUUUCUUGUUUGGAUUGAAACAAAAUCAAGGAUAUCAUACAAAAUUAUAAUAAACUUUUAAAUCUUUUACUACUUUCAAAUAGAUUAGUGUAUAUUAUAUUAUACAUAAUGUUAAAUCAUAGAUGCUUCAAAUAAUUAAGAAGGAUAACUAAUUAUCUUUCUAUUAAAAUAAAUAAAUGAUGUCAUUAAUUGUUGCAAACUAAUUUACAUUAUGGGAUGAUGAGUUGGUUGGUCAUUCUAUCAUCUUCAAAAUUAUCCUGGAUAAUAAAAGUAGUUCUAUAAUUAAUGAUUAAAUAAAAACAUUUCUUUUUCAUUUUUUUUUAAAGGUGGUUAUGAAACCAAAUGCUUGUACAUAUUAUGUUCUUUUCUUUUAAUAUUACAUUUGUCAUUUUUUUUUCAUUUAUGUACUAAAUUUUUUAAAGAUGACUUCCUUAUUUAAUAAGAGAAGUAAGUGUCUCAAUUAGAGUUUAUAAUACCGCUUGACUUUUUAUUAUAGAAAGAUGAAUAAUUUAAUCAUAAAACAAAAGCAAGUGUGGAAAAUUGUAGUAAUUCCAAUAUAAAAUGUAGGAGCUCUUAGAAAUUUAUCUUUAAAAAAAAAAAUUUUAAAAAUCAAUUCUUAUACAAAAUCAGAUAUUAAAUUUUUUUUUUACUAUCUCAAUUUUUAAAAAUCUUGAAAGUAAUUUUUAAAAAUAUAAAAUUUAUAUUCCAUGCAAGUUAUUGGAUUUCAUAUAUAAAUUACUAUUAUUUUCUCUUUUAGAAAACAUGAAAUUAGUAAGCCGGAGGGCACUUAGACACAUAUACAUUAAAGUAUCCACAUUUUUUAUUUAUGAAAAAUUAAAGAAAAUGAACAUGUCUAACUUUUCAUUUUUUAUAAGAUGAAAAUGACUACACUCCAAUAUGUUAAUAUUCAUGUCAUAUUUUAGUCAUGUUAUCAUGUUACAUCAAAAUUGUCAUCCUGAUAUUUUUUUUAUAAAUUUAAUAAUAUGGUACAUAAAUUUUGUAGAACGAAAAGUUUAUAAGCUAGUCUCGCUAAAUAUAUACCUAUAAAAAAUAUUUUAAAACAAGUGUAUAAAAAAUGGUCAUCAAAUAAAAUAAUGUUUGGAUUUAACAAAAUAACUUUGGGAUUUUAGGUUUAAGAAAUUUUAAACUAGGGCUGUCAAAGAUAGGAUUUAAUGAUAUUGGUUGGGAUUAUGGUAAUUCUUUUUUUUAUAUAUAUAGUAUUUGAAUUAUGACUGACUACAUCUAUAAUUAUAAUUAAAUAUUGAAUAUAUCUCUUUUCAUAAGGCACUAUGAAAUAAUUUGUAACAUAAUUGAAGCACAAUAAAAAAAAAAUUUAAGCUACUUUGGUCACUAUGCAUAUGAUCUUAAUAGAUAAAUGAGGAUAAUUUAUCAAUGUCUCAAAGUCAUUCUUGAAAGUACUUGUAGAUAAUUUCAAAUCAAUAAAAUUAUCCAUGCCUGAAAACAUACAAAUUAAAAUCAACAAUUCAAAUUAUCCAUGCUUAAAAACAUACAAAUUAAAAUUACUAAUUCAAAUUAUACGUGCUAAAAAACAUAUAAAUUCAAAUCCACAGUCCAAACAAAGAGUCUCUUUUAUGGCAUUAUCAUUCUGGUUCAAUACUGCAUCUCUACCACCCUUCCAAUUCCAAAACCAAUAGUUAGUCAUGUUUCCAUGCGCAACUUGACCAAUGGUUAGUCAUAGUUUAAUUAUCUUGUGCUUUUUCAUCUUCAGAUAGAAGCAAAGUAAGAGCAAAACAAAUAUCUAGAUAUUUCAUUUUUCACUAAUUCCAUCUAAUAAAUAUUUUAUUCACUAGUGAAUGAAAAAAGAAGAGAGAGAACACAUACCUUGCUAGAGGUUAAAGAAACCCUUGAUCCUUUCGAAACUAGAGAAUUUUUUUCUUGGAUGAGUGAUCUUCUCUAUUAGCAGGCCUUUUUCUCGACGGCUGAGGCCACUGCUUCUGAUCUUGGGCGUAUAUGAGAUGUAUCCCACAACUUUUCACUUUAAAGGAUGCGUUUUCGCCACAUGUAAAAGAGGCAUUACCGACAGGAUUGUCAAAGUGAGCCUUGAAGUUGUUCCACUUUCUGGAUCGAUACUUGCUUGGAAUGCCAAUCUGAGGGAAAUACGUCACCCACAGUGCUGGAUCUGAUGUGCUACCACUGUCGUAGCAUGUGCUGCCAUAUGAUAAACCGCUAAUCCAGUAUGUUUUACAAUGAGGAUGAAAACCAAUAUUAUCCAGUCGUUUAGAUUGAUCACCAUGGGAUAUCUCCAAUUUACAAUGUGGAAUAAAACCAGAUGUUCUCACGCAUUCAUCAUCAUCAAGGGGAACAUGAUGGAAGAAUAAAACAAAUCCUAACAAGUUAUUAUCUUCAUACCAAUUCAUUGGAAGCUCUACACUUACUUCACAUCCCAUUCUUUGAUGACUUACCCACUCUGGUAUUCCACUACUUCCUGGAAUGAUAAUAUUAAAUUGCUGCUGCAGAAAAAAAAUGUCAUGUAAAUCUCAUGCUUUUAGAAAAAAAAAAAAAGAAAGAAAAAAAGGGAUAGUUAUGCCAUGAAAAUGAUACCUGAAUUGGUGAUUUCAAGUGUUUGAGCAAAGAAGACCAGAGUAGACUUGAAGAAGUUUCAGUUUCCAGGCUUGGACAACCAUGUGCCUCUAUCCAUCCAAGACUUGAUGGAAGCUCUCCAAUUACUUCAAGCAUCGGACAAUGAUUCAUGAGAAGGAUACGAAGCUUGCAAAGUUGAGUGAUGCCAGCAGGUAUGCAACGCAUACGGCUUUCACUUAUGUUUAAAAAUACCAGUAAGGAUAGGCACCAUAAAUCACUGGGGAUUUCUUCUUCCAUCAGAUUGCAACCACCUAGAUCUAGCAUUGUUAAGCAACAUUGUAGGCUUCUCAAAUUGUCAGGCAAGUUGUGGAGCUUUGGACAGUUACGAACAUGAAGACUAGUAAGACAUGUCAAAUUACCGAUGCUAUUGGGAAGAGCCACAAGGUUCUCACAAUUGAUCAAUUCCAAGGAUUUAAGACCUCUCAGAUGUUCAAUUGAUGAUGGCAGCUCUGAGAUACCCGUCUCACAUAAAAAAAGGCGUUCUAAUUGUUCCAUAUCCUCUGUGAUCUCUGAAAAAGCCUUUAGAUUUGAACAACCAUUGAGAGAGAGGCCUUCGAGGGAUUUCAACUCACAUAUACUGUUUGGAAGACUUUUCAAGUUUUUACAAUUUUCCAAAUUUAAGCGAUCAAGUCUGGUGAGAUGACCUACUGAGUAGGGUAAUCCUUCAAUAGCAGUCUCAUCUAGAAAAAGAGCCCAUAGAUUCCCCAUAUUUUUUUGGAUCUCAGGAAACCUCUCAAGAUUUGAGCAACCACUGAGAGUAAGACUUCCAAGGGCUUGCAAGCGCCCAAUGCUAUUUGGGAGUUUCUUAAUAGCGGUAUUAUCUAAAGAAAGCUCCUUCAAGCAUUUCAUAUUCCCUUGGAUCUCUGGAAAUUUCUCAAAGUUUGAGCAAUAUGAGAGGUUAAGAUUUUCAAGAGAUUCCAAAUACCCAAUGCUCCCUGGGAGUUCCUUAAUACCACUCCUAUAUAGACAUAGCUCCCUUAAACGUCCCAUAUUGGUAAAUACAUCUGAAAAUUUCUCAAACUUCAAACAUUUUUCAAGAGAAAGAAUUUCAAGAGAUGUCAAGGACCCAAUGCUGUUUGGGAGUUCCUGAAUAGCAGUCUUCCUUAAAUAAAGGUUCUUCAAGCAUUUCAUAUUCCCUUGGAUCUCUGGGAAUUUCUCAAAUUUUGAGCAACAUGAGAUGUCAAGAAUUUCAAGAGAUUCCAAAUACCCAAUGCUGCUUGGGAGUUCUUUAAUACCACUCUUACGUAAAUGAAGCCCCCUUAAAUGUCCCAUAUAGGUAAAUGUAUCCGGAAAAUUCUCAAACUUCGAACAUCCUUCUAAAUAAAGCUCCCUCAAAAAUUUCAUAUUCCCAUGGAUCUCAGGAAAUUUCUCGAAGUUUGAACAAUCUGAGAGAUUAAGGACUUCAAGAGAUGCUAAAUACACAAUGCUACUUGGUAGUUCUUGGAUCCCACUCUCAUUUAAAUAAAGCUCCUUCAAACAUUCCAUAUUCCCAUGGAUCUUAGGAAACUUCUUCAAGUUUGGACAACAAUUAAGAUAAAGAACUUCAAGAGAUUCAAACUUCAUGCUGGAUGGGAAACUUCGGAGUUGUUCACAUCCUCCUAAAUUCAAGUAAGUCAAACUUUUGAGAUCACCAAUAGAUGAAUGAAGUUCACACAAGCUUGUACAACCUUCAAGAUUCAGUCUCUCCAAAUUCGGCAUGCUUGAGAAUUUUGGCAUUUUGACCAACUGUUUUGAGUUACUUAGAUCAAUGCCCUUUAAUUCUUCAAAACGCUAUAACAGAAGACAUUUUGUUAAUAUAAAAAAAUAAAAAUUCUUCAACUUGAAUAUUAUUAUAAAGAAAAAAAAAAUUAAAUAAUGAUCAUACCUUAUUCCCUUUCCAAAGUUGUUUUAUGUUGCUAGACUUCAAGUUGAUUUCAAUAAGGUGCUUUCCAUAAAAGUUCCAAGGUAAAGAUGUCAAAGUGCAUCUUUGCCAAUGAAGAUAUCUCAAAUCAUGAGGAAAUUGAAAGUCUUUACGAAGAAGCACUUUAUACUCCUCUCUCGUCAAACCAUCAUGAUCAUUGCAAUAGAUUUUAAGCAACCUAAGUUUCUUCAUCUUGGCAAACACUUUUGUAUUGAACUGUAUUUCUCUUGAUCUAGAUAAGUCCAAAGAUAUGGUUUGAAUAUUUUGCAUCUCCUGGAAAACAAUAAGGAAAAAUAAGGGAAGAACACAAGAUAAAAAUCCUAACUACAAUUAUAUAGACAAUUAACCACUAAAAAAUCAAUUAUAAACAUUUAAAUAAAUAUUUAGGCAUUUAAUCCAUACCUCUUGUUUAGAAAAUGCAUCAUGAAUAUCAUCUACAUCCCACAAUCUACUCCAUUUGCAGGGGUCUCCAGGAGAUUCUUCACGAACAAUUGCCCAACCCAUUUCUUGUAUCAAGUCAUGCAUUUGUAUGACACUGUCUAAGAUAGUUACUAAACAUCUAUCACAGAGAACUCUUAUGUUGCAUGUUGCAAAUAAAUUGCAACCAUCUAAUAUUCUUGACACAAAAUAUUUGCAUUCAUCUUUGAAAAAACACGCAAUGUCCAAGAAAACCUCCUUUUGAGAAGGAUCAAGCCCAUCAAAACUUAUUCUAAGCACAUCAUUAAUUUCCUUCAUAGGGUUUUUUUUCAAUUUAUCCGAUGCGCUUUUCCAUUCAUCUAUUGUCAUGCCCUGAAGAGAAGAACCUAGAACUUUAAGGGCCAAAGGGAGACCUUGAGCAUAUUGAACCAUGCAAUUUGAGAGGUCUACAUAAUCUUCCUUAGGAACAUUUUGUUUAAAGGCAUGUUGGCUGAAGAGUUGAAGAGCUUCCUCAUAAUGUAAUUCUGUAGCCUUAUGUGAUAUAGUCACUCCAUACUCAACCAACAGAUGUUGGUCUCUGGUUGUAAUGAUAAUUGUACUUCCUAGACCAAACCAUUUAGGACUUCCAACCACUGACUCUAAUUGCUGCAACCGAUCCACAUCAUCAAUUACAAUAAGAACCUUUUUUGAGCGAAGUCUGGACUUUAUUAUAUUGAUACCUUUAUUGAUAUUGCUAAACUCUACAUCAUUCCCCACUGUAUCAUGUAGAAGUUGUUGUUGUAGUUGAAGUUGACAACCCUUGUUGAAUGUCUCUCUGACAUCUUGAAGAAAGCUUGCACCAGUGAAUUGAUAUUGGAUCUCAUUAUAAACAAUCUUGGCAAUGGUAGUUUUACCAAUUCCACCAGGUCCAUAGAUCCCAACCACACGAAUGUCAUUCAAGUCACUACUUAACAAUGAUUUUAGUUCUUUUAGGCGAAAAUCCAUCUCAACUAUAUCAUUGUUGAUGUGCAAAAGCUUAGAAUUCAUUGAUCUUUUAAAAAUCUGGUUAAUAAUUUCCUUAAUAUGCUUUGACUCAUACCUGCCAAUUAUAAAGUACAAUUUAACACUUCAUGAGUCAUAAUGAAUUGCAAAAGAUAAGAAAUAUAAAGUAAAUUUAGUGAUAUUCACUUGAUUUUGUCCAUAUAACAAAAGUAAUAGGAUGUAAAAAGUAUUAAAAGAACCCAAUAUAUUGAGCAUUUAUAGAUAAUGAGAAGGCAACAAGUUUUGAGCCUAGUGUUAAUAAGAUCAUAAAGCAAGCUUUACUAUACAAAAUUAUUAACUUGUUAAUUCAUGAUUUAAGACAACUAAAUCCUUAUAACUUAAUUAAAUCAAAAGCACAAAUUAAGGAAGUUGAAGUUACCCAUCAUUCACAUGGAAACCACUUAGAUUGCUUGCUUCAGUCAAGGAAUCCCUCCACCUUUGCACCUUUUUCCCAUCUACAUUUCUUUCAUGAAAGGAAAAUGCCUCUCCGAAGCUCCCUGUUUGCUUUCGCACAUCACAAGGAUCCACGUGGUAGAACACCGGAAAGACUAUUUGUUCCAUUUCUUCCCUGCACUCCAUGAUCUUCGCUAACUCAUCCAAACACCACUUGGAAUGAGCAUAGUUUUUUGAGAACACAACUAUGGAAAUUCUUGAUUCUUCAAUAGUUUUCAAAAGUUCUGAUUUGAUCUCCUCUCCUCUUUCAAGUUGAUCGUCUCUGAAAGUCUUAAUCCCCAUCCCAUGCAAAUUUACGAAUAAAUGAUCCGUAAAAUUGUUGCGGGUGUCUUCACCUCUAAAACUCAAGAACACUUCGAACUCAUAUUUACGGACUGAGGUAGAAGAAGAAGAGGGUUUUUGGGUAGAGGAAGCCAUCGUUGGAUAGUUUCUGGAUGAAAGCAUAGAGAGAGUUGAGGAAGAACCUGUGCUUAGUCAAUACUUCGAUAUGAAGCAAAACUCUUUUUUUUUUUGUGUUGUGGUUGGAUUGUAAAAUUUAAAAAAUAUAUGCAAGCAGGUGAUCCUGCAUGUGAUUUGUCAGUUAAAUGUCAACGAGUAAUGUGAUUUGUCCUUCUUUAAAAAAAUAUAAAGAAGGACCCACCCAUCAUAAAACCCGUAAAAGCCUUACAUUAAAAUUUUAGUCUUCGGUAUCAUGGCCAUUGGCGCUUUCUUUGACCAGUCAAAGCCUUUCAAUACAAUUGCCAUAGGUCCUUUCCUCUUUAACUAGUCAAAGCCUUAAGUUAAAUUUUCAAUUUUUUGGUAUUCCUUCGUAUUAUGGCCACGCCCCUUUACUUUGACCAGUCAAAGUCUUUCAAUACUAUUGCCAAGGGCCCUUUUCUCUUCAAGGGAUCAACCCAAUAAUUUUAAUUUAAGGCUUUCAAACCAAUUGGGCAAUUUAAUAUAUAGUUUAUUCCCCUGUCCUAAAUUUUAACUUAAAUUCAAUUAAUUUUAAUUACUUUAUUUUUAUACUCUAUUUAAUAUAUUAUUAAAAAUAUAAAAAAAUCAUAAUAAUCUUAUCAGAGUCUUUCUUUAUUUAAAAAAAUAAACUUUGGGUAUAAAAUUGUUAAUAUUUUUAAACAUAAAAAUAUAUGUAUAUAUCAUUAUUUUUUUUUAUAUAUUUUAAACAAAGAUCAUCAUUUUACUAUGAAUAAAAAUUUACUUAUUAUGAAAAUGUAAAAACCAUAAUAAUGAAUUAAUGAAAAUAAUCUUUUAUGUUUUUUGUAUGAGGGAGUUUAAAUGAGGGCUUAAAGACUUAUUCUUAUUAAACUUAUGAAGAAAUUUUUUUAUUGUUUCAAUGAAUUAAGCAGUUUCCUUCUAGAAGUUGUUUUUUUCUUAAUUUGCGUUGAACUUAUGAAAAGAAUGCUUUAGAGUUUUUGGUUGUAUUAGAAACUGUUCUUUUCUUUUGAGUCCCCUCACCAAACAGGCAUUGAAGGAUAAUAUAUCUGUAUUCAGAGGUGAAUUGAGGCACUUGAUCCCACCCCUUAGAUUUUCAUCUCCUAAUUUGGCUCCUUAAUUGCAAAUCCCUUUGCGACAUUUUUUCAAAAAGAGAAUAUGUUACUUUAUUCUAUUUGAUCAAUUCAAUGGCCAUUUGGACCUAUUUUUGGUGUCUACAAGAUGUCCAAACACUAGGAGACAACAUGUGCAUGUCAUUGUUAACCUAGUUGGAGCUUGAAAUUGUUUUCUAUUGACGAGUUAGGCUUGGGUUGCGGUGGACCUUGGCAUGAUUUGACGCUUAUUCUAAUCCAAGUUGGGCCGUAAUUUAACAAACUGGACUGAGGGCUUGAGCACUUUGUGGGAUUGAGGAAAUCUUCUUGGGGAAGUGGACCUUGAAGCUUGAAACAUCAAUUUUUGAAGAUGUCAACAAUUUGGAGACGUUAUAUGUACUAGAUGCUUAAUAUGAGUCAUCAAAGAAGUUUUGAUGAAGAUUCAAAGACAUCCAUGAAAGCUUGUUUUUUUGGCCUUCUUCAAGUGUAUAAUAAGCUUUGCUUUUGCUGGCCAUACUCUUUAAUAAAAUACAAUUUGCCAGCCAAACUCUUUAAUAAAACGAGACAUUUGCUUACCAUGUCUUGUUUAUUUCUUUUAUUGUAUAUUUGUCAUAGCUCAUGGUUGAGAACUAGUUGACCUAGUUUGUCAAAGCCAAUAAAUUAUUUUUACAUAUUUCUUCAAACUUAUUUUACUUAUUUUCAUUUAUUAUAUAAAGAUUAAAUAAUUUUAAAAUGUACAAUUUUUUAACUAAUUUUAAUUAUAUUAAAUUUUCGUUAGUGUUUUCCAUGGUAAAACCAUAUAGGAGAAAACUAUUUUCUUUGCAAUUUUUUUUCUUUCCUUAAUACUUUUUAGGAACUAAACAUAGCCAUAAUGAUUAUUCCGAACCCUAGAGGUUUAGUUAUUUGAUCACAACUAAUAUUAAGAUAAACAAGUAAUUAACUCACGAGUCUAAUAGAAUCCAUAAUAGUAAGUAGUAGAGUCUUUGGUCAUGUUUAUACAUAUCUUGGAUUUGAUCAAUUUCUUUAAAUUUUUUGUUGAUUGUGAAUCUAAAUAUGAGGGUUGAAGCAUAAAUUUAACAAGGGAAUUGAAUAUAUUAAUGAUUAAGUUAUGAUCAAAAUAUAUAUUAAGAAGAUUGGACUGAAUUUAUUUUCCUUUUAUUAAUCUUAAAAAUCGUGACAACUUGAAGAAUAUAGUGGUAGGUGAUGGGAUAUGUACAAGAUGCUAAGUAUGAGUCAUGUGAUUUACUAUUUGAAAUUGAUGGUAUAUGGAUUUCACUACAUUAAAGUAGAUAAAAUAUUUUAGCUGAUGAUCUUAAAGUUAAUUUAAUCUAAUAAACUAAGUAACUCAUUUAAAAUUUUCUUGCUUAAAUUAAGUUGGGAUUUUGAGUGUUUUUGAAAUGGUACCAUUUUAGUAUAUAGCUAAAAAAAUUUUAAACUUAAAUAAUAUUUACUGUGUAAUGAAAAUGAAGUAUAUAACUACUAAAAUUUUGGAAAUAGCAAAAAAUAGAAGAGAUUAUGUUAAAAUCUAGUAAGAAUCUUAAUUUAUGAAGUUUUUAGUUGUGAAUACCUUUUUUAUUUGAACUUAAGUUAGGGUUACAUAAGGAUGGCGAUAGGGUGGGUUCGGGGCAGGUCGCCCCCAUCCCAACCCCACCCCGUUUAUUCAAAAUAAUUCUUAUCCCCGUCCCAUUUAAAAAAUUAAACGGGGUGGGAUGGGUAUGAGAAUUCUCAUACCCACCCAGCCUCUUUUAAGUUUAUUUUUUUUUAAUUUUUAAAUUUUUAAGAUUACUUUAAAAAAAUUUUAAUUACAUUAAAAUAAAUAUAUUUUAUAAAUAAUUAAAUUAUUAUAUUUUUUAUAACUUAUUUUAUUAAAAAAAAUAUUUUAUUAUUAUCUAUAUAUUAAAAAUAGUAGUAAAAAAAUAAUUUAAUUUAAUUUUAAAAAUUAAUUUUAUAUAUAAUUGGGGUAGGACGAGGCGAGAUAAGACAAUACUCGAACCCAAUCCAGGUUUUAAAAAAAUUCUCAAACCCGUUGCAAACUCAUUUAGUUAAAAUUCAAACCCAUCCCAUUAGGGAUAAGGUGGGGCGGGUACCCAAAAAAACCCGCCCCAUUGUCAUUCCUAGAGUUAUGAGCGUUUGGAGGCUAGGGUAAUAAUAUGUUAGCAUAAAAAUUCUAGAUUCUUGUUUGAAAUUCAAUAUUAUUUAUUAUGUGAUGGGAAAGUUAAGCAUGUAGAAGUAUCCUUGCACUAAAAUUUAAUUUGAUUGACUAAUUUGAAAUUUCAAUGUUGAAUUGAUUAUACAACAGAUAAUUUUAAGAAUAUGUAAAAAACAUGGGAGAUUAUAUAAAAAUUAUUCCUUUUCAUUUUUGUUUUAUUUUGUUUUUUGUUUUGUUUUCAUUCAUGGGAGAAGAUGUUAGAGCUCCAAUACAAGCCGGUAGCAGAGGGAGUAUGGCAAUGACUAAGGUGGAAAUUUGUAAGAAAAAAUUUGAGGCAUAGAUCAAAAUAUAUAAGGGGCUUGGUUUUUGGCCAUAAACCAUUUAAGUUUUCUAGAUCACCAUCAUCUUGCCAACAUGAGGUAGAGUUGGAGCAUGGACUUGUGGAGACUCAACAACAAUAGCUUGAUAUCCAAUAUGAGCUAGUUAAUUGACCAAUUGGAAGCAAACGAAAUCAAUAACAUCAACCAUUUGAAGAGAUUUUACGUCAUCUACGAUUUAGCCAAGGAUCCUGAUGAUCCCUCACGAUGUAGCCAACAAAAUCAAUAACAUCAACAACAAUUCGGAACAUAGAUUUUUUCUGUCACAUAAACUAUUCGUUUUGGGUGAGAAUAGGACCAAACAAGCCCCAGUUAGACAUGAGAAUAGAUUUAUAAUAUUUUGAUCGGCCACAUCCAUAAAUCAAAAUAUCUUUUAUAAAGUCAAAAAAAUGUUGGAAUCUGAUUGAUUGCCAUGGUAAUGACAAAAAAUAUAAAUAUCUUUUAUAAAGCCAAAAAAAUGUUGGAAUCUCAUUGAUUGCCACGGUAAUGACAAAGAACAGGGAUAAGACACAAAGACGCAAUAAUUUCAUUGAAGGCCCCUUCCCCCGAGUGAUGUGCCAUUUUGUAGAAUCUGUUGCUGCCAAUGCGUGCACAAUACUUGUUGUGAUAAUGGCAAGCUGGAUUCUUGUCGUUGUAACACCUGUCUCGACUUCAUUUCUCAUGUCAACAGCAACAACAGUGUAUCAUUUAUUUCCCUCCAUUUAUAAUUAACAAAUAAACCUUCUUUCCUCCCCCACCAUCUUCAUCUUCAGCCUAUUCUCUUCUUCUCCUCGGUUCCACAUUAUUUUUUUCCGUCCUUUUUCGAACUCACCCAAAAUUGAACAUGGAGCAAAAAAUCCCAAUCAACGGAAAUUGUAGGGAAAAAAUUCCAUAUGAAAUACAUAAGUAUCUUUAAGGUUGCAAAUUUCAACAAUUUUUUUCCAUGCACUUUCUAGGAAACCAAACAAUGAAAAAACACAAGAGAAUAUAAUCCGGAAAAUUACCUGAUAACGAUAGGGUUUCAAAAUGUAAUUCUAUUGUUCUUCAUCGCCUCGAUACAUUGCCUUCUCUCCCCAGCAUCAUAGGCCCUUUUCAACCCACAAAGUGGGUUUGCAUUUGCAUAAUCACCUAGAUUUUCUCCCCAAUAAAAAAGAAAAAAAUAUAUAUAGAAGGAAAGAAAAUCUGACCUCCCCAAUCACUCCAAAACCCGCUUCUCUCUCUACUAUCAUUUUUCCCACUCCCUCUACCGUUCUUCUUCCCACUACCUUUACAGGUCUCUAUUGAGACCCACUACUACACCAAAUUCUGAUUUUCAAGUUAAAAAUAAAUAAAAAUUCCCCUUCUUAGUAAACAAUGUGAGUUCGCAUCUCAUUAGAGAGGAUCCAAAUCCCAACUGGUGUACCCCACUAUCUUUCUUCCUAAACCCCCUGAGUCAUAUUCCUUAUUUAUUUAAAAAUAAAAUUUAGAAUAUUUACAAAAAAUUUAACUUUUAAUUAGAAAAAUAAUUUAUAAUAGUUAAAUAAAGAUAAGUUUUUUUAUGUAAGGUAUGGAAAAAAAUUAUUAUCAAGUAUUUGCUAUGCUAUAUUAAUGAUUUUUUUAAUAUUUGCAAAAUUGUUUAGUGUCCAAAUCGUAAUAUUUAAAAUAAAUAAAGAAGAAAAGUAGAAAAAAGAGCCAUAGAAAAAAUAAUUUAAUAAAAAUAUAUAAAUAAAAAUAGUGCAUGUCUUACAUUAAAAAAAGUUUAUCUUAUAUUUAAGUAUUAUUUUUCCAUUUAUAAUUACUUUUUAGGUGUCUCAUUAAUAAUUAUUUGAACAACCCAAAAUAUUCAAAAAAAUCAAAAUAGAUAAAAUGUCCAUGAUAUUAAGAGAAUCUAGAGUGUUAAAAACAUUAAUGUAUAUUUGACUAUUAAAGAAGUUACAAUUAUUUGUGAUAAUGAAAAAAUAUUUUAGGAAUGUUAUUUUUUUUUUCUUAUCAAAACUCUCUAAUAGUUUUAAUUUAUUAAACUAUUAAUUAAAUAAUAAUAAAAUAGUAAUUUUCAAAUAGAUCAAGAUGGUCGAAUGUUUAAAAUGAAAAGUCAAUUUUUCUUUAUGCAUAUAGAUAGAUAUAGGAGAUCAAGUGAAGAGAUAUUAUUUUAGACAUAAUCAAUUGACCAAUAUAAUUAAUAAUAAUUAGAUUUCUCAUCUAAAUAAGAUUAUUAUUUUACUUUUCUAAAAUGUUUAAAAUAUUGUAUCUAAAAAAAUUUAUUUAAACAAAAUUAAUAAUUCUUUUUUUUUUUUCAAUUUCUUGAAAUUUUUGAAAAAAUAAAUCUUGUAAAAAAAAUCCUAUUUAAUAAAACUAUAAUCCCUAACAUAGAACUUCAACAAAUAAUAAGGUAUGCAUAUUUGUUAAAUAAUAAAAAAUUAAUUAAGUAACAAUAAUAAUUUUUUAUUGACAUCUAGAUUUUUUAUUACAGAACAAAUAUAUAAAUAAACUUGUCACGACAUUACAAUAUAUUUUUGAAAACAAAUGCUAAAAAAUUUAAAUAUUUUAUUUUAUCUUACUAAAUUAUUUUCUCAUAAUUUUUAUUAAAUAAUUAAACAAAAUCUAAUAUUAACUUUAUUACUUCACGUUCACAUGCCUUGCAUGUGGAACGAGCCUAAUUAUACUCAAGGAUGAAAAUAUCUAUAAUCACGGAUAUAUCGGUACUUCGAUUUUACGGAUAUAUCGACGGAUAUUUUGAAAAAAAAUAUCGAUAAGCCUAAAAUUGAUCAAAAUUUAUAAAAAUAUAAGAAAAACUUCAUAAAAAUAUAAUUAGAAGUAUAAUGAUAUUUUAAAAUUUUUUUAAUUAAAUAAUUUGAUAUAUGUAUAAUAUGAUUUAUCAUAUUUGAUAAUAAUAUUGUAUGUGCUAAUAAAAAAACUAUAAAUUUCAUAAGUAUAUAUUUAUUAUUAAAUUAUAUCAAUUAUUAUUCAUAAUAAUAUUUGUGAUAUUUGAUUAUAAUAUGUCUAAUUUUAAAAUAUAUUUAAUAUUAAAAUUAUAAUUCAUUUAAUUUAAUUGUAUUAAAUGAUAUAAAAUAAAUGAUGAUAUAUGUAUAAUUUUUAAUACUUAAUUAAUAUAUUAAUAAUAUUAAAAACACUAUAAAGAAAAUUAUCACGAUGAUUUUUAUAUUUUUGGUAUUCAAAUAGAUGAAAAAAAUUUAUUUAAUUAUAAUUAAUUUGUUCUUUAAAACAUUUUUUUAAAAAUUAUGUUUAUAUGAUGAAUUUAACUUUAUAUAUAUUUGGUGCACAAUAUAUAUCAAGGGGCAAACUUGCCCUUGCGGUUGGCUAGUUAUACUUAAACAAUGGUAUCGUGUUUUUCUUUUUUUAACUAGAAUACCAUGUUUAUACCAUGUUUUAUAUUUAAAUUUUUGUUUCUUUAUACUUUUAUCCCACUUAAACACUUUUGAGAGUGUUUCUAAGAAUUCUUUUUAAUUGAAGUGUCAUUUUCUUCUUAAAUAUUUUUUAAAAUUUUAUUAAAUACUAAGUGGAUGUUUGGUAAACCAACUUAAUAACUUAAUUUAAGUUAUUAAGUAAAUUAAGUAUGUUUAGUAAAAUAACUUAAUAAUGUGACUUAAAGUAAAAAAAUAACUUUAAGUAAUAAAUAAAAAUAAUUAACUUAUUCUUAAACUUACAACUUUAUUUUAUAUUUUUUUACCCUUAUUUGUCUUAGUUACUUUCACGAUCUCUUUUACUACUCUACAACUUGGUGUUUUGCCAACUGGAUGUAGGUCUAUCUAGCUUCACUAGAGUCAAACAGACUUUUUCCCUGUACAAAAGGAUGUUCGGAUAGGUGGUUCAAGUACGCUCCUUUUAAGCUUAAGUCAAAAUCUAGCGAGAGUGAAUCCAACUUUUUGAAUGGCUAUGUGCGCGUACCUUUUUCAUCCUUUUGGAGGGGUUUUUAUAGAACAUUUAGCGUCAUCAUCACAACAUUGAUUGUGCAUUUAUGCCUUUCUUCCGUUGAUGAUCGCCGUCAUGGGGGAUAUUAUGCCUUAAUAAUGUAGUCAACGCCAUCAUCUUAGCAUAGAUUAGGUAAUCAUAACAAACAAGAACCGUUGAUUGGUGCCAUUUGUAGGCUGUCGUGCAAGAAUCUCACACCAUGUCAUUAACUACGCAUUUACAUUUGUCAAUGUCGCUGAUUGCAUUUAAUGAUUGAUUGACAUUGAUUUUUGGGUGUAAAUGUCAUCUAGAUUGUCGCUUAGGCAUUGACAAUGAUUAAUCAUCUGUCCAGUGCUUAGAAUUUUCAAUUGGGUUGGUUUGUCCGUUUGGAAGUCCCUAGUCGGCUUGUCUAUCCAUUCUGUCUAGCAUUGGGGAAAAAAGAAAUUUGCAUUUUCUCUUGCGCCAAGCGGAGCUUGUCUUAGUCUAGACGGAUUACUUCCUAAUGGAUUAUCUACUUACCUUGGACAGCCAAAGGGUCUUGAGCUUAGGAAUGACACGUGAAGAGAAACUUCCCACACAACCUCCAUAGUUAUUCGAUUUCGCCUAAAUUAUAAUUUAUGAGAUAAAAUAUAUCAAUUUGAUGAUUUAAAAUAAAUUUUAAGUUAAUUUUAUCAAAUAACCUUAAUACUUAAAGUAAAAAUUAAGUCAUAAGUUUUAAGUUAACUUAAGUGUAAUUUAACUUAAAAUCAAUUUAAACUAUUAAGUAGUAAGUAUUAAAUUUUAUCAAACACCCACUAUUUUUUUUUUUUUUUUGAAAACUUUUUUCUACAUGUUUUCUUAAAGAUUUUUUUGAACUUUUUUUAAAAGUGUUUUAAAGUUUUAUCAAAUACUUCGUUUGCAUUUUUUUGAAAAAAAAAAUGUUUUUUUUUAACUUAGAAUUAGUGGAUAUUUGGUAAACCAACUUAAUAACUUAAUUUAAAUCAUUAAGUAAGUUAAGUAUGUUUCGUAAAAUAACUUAAUGAUAUGACUUAAAGUUAAAAACAACUUUAAGUAAGAAGUAGAAACAAUUAAUUUUUUUUUAAUGUUCAUAUCUUCAUUUGACAUUUUUACCCCAAUUUGCCUUAAUUACCUCUGCAAUCUCCUUUGCUAUUACUCAACUUUCUCUAUCCUAAUUAUAAUUUAUGAUGAUAAAUAUGUCAAUUUAAUGAUUUAGAAUAAGCUUUAAGUUAAUUUUAUCAAACAAACUUAAUACUUAAAGUAAUAAUUAAUUAAUAAAUUUUAAGUCAACAACUUAAAUAUAAUUUAACUUAAAGUAAACUUUGGUUAUUAAGUAAUAUAUAUUAAAUUUUACCAAACACCCUCUUAGUUUUUUCUGAAAUAACUAUCGGAAGAUUCUUACUCUUAUUUAAGUGUUUUUUUUUUUCCCCUCAAUGAUCUUGAUUAGUCAUACAUAUCCACACUUGAUAUUAAGAGUUGGUUAUCCUUUAAUGACAUUGGAUCAACCUUUUUGAGCUUUACCGUCUCAAUGAUCUUGAUUAGUCGUACAUAUCCACACUUGAUAUUAAGAGUUGAUUUUAAUGACAUUGGACCAACCUUUCUGAGCUUUACCGUCUAACUAAAGAUAAGCACCAAACGGUUGUUGUGAGACUGACAUUUGGAGCCCUUCCACUUGCCUACAUAUACCCCAGAAGUUGGCUUUAGGUUUACCAUCUUCAACCUCUCCUUUUGCCCAAUCUUUUAUCAUUGAAUAACAGACAUGGAUCUCUUCUUUUCAUAUCUACUAUACUUUAUACUAUUCUCCAUAUCACUUCUAAUAGUCUUCCUUAUUACUUACAGGCACAAAUCCUCCUAUCCAAACCUUCCCCCUGGGACAAUGGGAUGGCCAAUCAUAGGAGAAACUUUGGAAUUUGCUUUGUCUUGUCAAGGGGGGAACCCGGGGAGAUUCUUGAACGAUAGAAUGAACAAGUACUCCCCUCAAGUGUUCAAGACCUCCUUAUUGGAAGCGAACAUGGCUGUGAUGUGCGGCCCUUCGGGGAACAAGUUUCUUUUCUCCAACGAGGACAAACUUGUAGUCUCAUGGUGGCAGCGUUCAAUGAAGAAGAUUUUGUGCUUCCCAUCUGUCUUCAACGAAACUUUAA
rnacentral:lncRNA from 1 species